UGCAAUUAUCACUUGUUUAGUUUCUGUGCUUGCCGUGGUUUACUUGGCAUGGAAUGUGAAAAAAUCAAGGAAAGCAAAUGCUAAACUGCCACCAGGACCUCCCGGCUUGCCUGUAGUCGGAUACCUCCCAUUUCUCGGAACUACUGACUUGCACAAGAAAUUCACGGAAUUAUCCGGAGUUUACGGUCCGAUCUUCAAGCUCUGGCUCGGAAAUAAAUUAUGUGUAGUGGUGAGCUCACCUUCCCUAAUUAGACAAGUGGUUCGUGAUCAAGAUACAACAUUCGCGAACCGUGACCCACCGAAGGCUGCACUAGUGGUCUCCUAUGGUGGCAAUGAUAUUGCAUGGUCCAAUUACGGUCCCGAAUGGAGAAAGUUGCGCAAAUUUUUUGUGGGCAAGAUGAUGAGUAACGCAAGCCUUGAUGCUUGUUAUGCUCUAAGAAAACAAGAGGUUAAAAAUACUAUCAGGGAUUUGUAUAACAACGACAACAAAAUUGGCAAGCCCAUUGACAUUGGUGAAUUGUCGUUUUCAACAUUGGUAUGUGCUAUACAGAACAUGCUGUGGGGUGAAGCGCUUGAAAUAAGAGAGAAAGGGACCACUAAUCUUGGGGCUGGGCUAAAAUUUAAGCUGGCAGAACUCAUGGUGCUUGCGGGAACACCGAAUAUUUCGGAUGUCUUUCCAAUGCUUUCAUGGCUUGACAUACAAGGUAUAGAGAGGAGAGCAAAGAAGAUUUCACUCUGGCUUGAAAAUGUUAUAAAUUCUACUGUUGAACAGCAUAGAAACAAGGAGUCAACUGUUGAAGGUGAAGAAAGAGCGGGGAAAAAUUUUGAAGGAUCAAGGAACAAGAACUUCUUGCAGUUACUAUUGGAGCUUCAAGAAAAUGAUGACAGUGCUUCCUCAAUUAGCAUGAACCAAUUCAAGGCCGUACUCAUGGUAUGUUAAGUAACUAGCAACGAACAGUUAUACAAGCACAGUUGUAUAUUUGCAUGAGUGAUAUUUUCAACCUUUUUUUUUAAUUAGAAUUUUAUUGUCACCUUUUGGACAGGAUAUAAUUACGGCUGGAACCGACACCACAGCUACGAUGGUGGAAUGGACAAUGGCAGAGUUGAUGCAGCAUCCACAAGUAAUGAAGAACGUUCAGGAAGAAUUAGCUCAAGUUGUGGGCAUGGACAGUUGUGUUGAAGAAUUUCACCUGUCUAGAUUAAAGUAUUUAGAUGCUGUGGUGAAGGAAACAUUUCGUCUGCAUCCUGCAGUGCCUUUAUUAGUACCACGCAGAGCAAGCGAGAGUGGCAGCAUUGGUGGCUAUACCAUUCCCAAAGAUACAACUCUUAUGUUGAAUGUUUGGGCUAUCCACAGGGACCCUCACCUUUGGGAUAAUCCCUUAGAAUUUCGACCCGAGAGGUUUCUGAAUGUUGGUGUCGAGAGUAAGUUCGAUUACUCAGGUAACAAUUUUCAGUACUUGCCAUUUGGUUCUGGUAGAAGAAUGUGUGCUGGGAUUCCUCUAGCUGAGAGGAUGCUGAUGUUUGUUUUGGCUUCGUUAUUGCACUCAUUUGAGUGGGAAUUGCCAGCUGGCACAAAGCUAAACUUAUCUGAAAAAUUUGGGAUUGUCAUUAAGAAAAAAGAGCCUUUGGUUGCUAUUCCAACACCAAGACUAUCCAAUUCAGAGCUCUACCAUUAAGACAAAAUGGUUGUGAUGAUUUUGUUAAUUUUCCGAAGAUUUGUAUGUUAUUUAGUUCAAUCGUAAUAAAAUAUUUCAAAUAAGAGUCCUCCGUUGCUUUUUUUUUUUUUUUUUUUUCAACGGCAUAAUCUGUCGUCAUGCUUGUAUUUGGAGCUACUUUGGAAUAAUUAUGUUUGAAUUACAAUUUAUAAAUAUUUACGUUUUAAAUUUUUUAUAAGAGUCUAAAUUUAUACACGUUUAAUAUCCCGCUUCAUAGAUAUUUAACACAAUUUAUAUCAUACAUUGUAUACCCAUUUGUCAUAAAUUAUACUAUUUUGUAUCUCUAAAUAAUAUUACGUAUUGAUAUUAUAAUAUAUAUAUAUAUGUUUAUCAAAAGACUAUACCAUUCAAUAUAUAUUGAAAAGAGAACAAAGAAGAUUUUCUUAUGGUUUAAAAAUAUUAUGAAUUCUGCUGUUGAACAGUAUGGAAACAAGGUCUCUGUUGUUAAAGGUGAAGAAGCAACAGGGAACAAUAUUGAAGGAAGAAAUUUCACAUGUUUAGUUGCUGAAUUUGCCGCUGUAUUCUAUCGGUAGUAGAGUUUUUAUUUUUCUCUAUUAAUUUAAGUCAAUUUUCUAUAACAAAUUCGGUUGAGUUUAAUUGUGUUAUAAUAUAAAUUGAAUGAUAAUAGAAUUUUCAACAAAUAUUUCAAUAUUUCUAUCUCGAUUGUUGAAGUGCCAUUUAUUUGUUAUGCGAUCGAUUUUAAAAUUUAUAAAAUUAUUUGUUACUAAAUUGCAUCAUAUGCUAAAAUCACCUGAAACCUAAUUCCAUAACUAACCCUUUAUUUUUAGUUCUCAAGAAAUCUUGUAAGAACAAAAAUCUUUUAUAACAAAACUUUUACAACACAUUAAUUUGUAACUCAUUCCUGUGCGCGAAUCACUCUCAAUUUCCUUCAAUUGCUGUUUAACAAUCAUCUACUUAUCAAAAUUCAAGCAUAAUCUUUUUUUUUUAAUUUCUUCAUCAUUCUUUAAAAAAAAAAUCAGGAUAUGCUGUUAAAUUUUGAAAUAAAUAAAUUAACCAAAGUUGGUUGAUGUGAGUGGUUCAAUGAUGAGCAUAAUUUAUAUACAUAUUUUACCUUUAAUUAUAUAAUUAUUAGUUAUUUUUAUUAGUUAUUUUUAAUUAAUUGAAUUAUUUUAUUGCAUAGAGAAUUAAUUGGAGAUUGGGAAACAAAAAGUGCAUAAAGAAUAACAAGUUUGGGAAAGCAUCAAUCAAAGCCGUGACGCAAUUAAGAGUUUAUAGCAUAUGAAGCCAAGAGUAAUUUGCACUCAAAAAGAAUUUCAAUUAUUCAAGUGACCUGGACCUGCAUGGCAUUGUAAUGCAUGGAAAGCAACUUAAAGGGGCCCACACUUGGCUUUUACAAUUGGAAAAAGGAAUCCUAGUGCAAGCUUAAUUGAUGAGCACGUGAGUGAGAGCAAAGAAAAUUAAAAGGCCAAGCCUUUUGGCUUAAGGAAAUAACAAGGUCGGUGGGGCCCAUUUUAAAGAGUAAUAUAAAAGCAAGCUUUUGGCUUUUGGAGAGAGGAGCCGCGAGAGGAGGAAAACGCAAGACAAAGAGAAGAAAAUCUGCAGCAGUUCGGCUUCUAUGGUUGGUUUUAUCUCUUUUGUUACUCUUAAUUCAAAUAUGUCUAGUUAAUUUUCUUAUAUUAAAGUUAAGGAUGAAACCCUAUUCAAUGAAAUAAUUAUCUUUUUAUUUAUUUAAUUCCCAUAUAUGUUCUUUAAUGAUUAUGAUUUUUAUUUCACAUGAUUAAUUGGAUGUUAUUAAAAUUUUUUCAUCAAUUCUGUCAUGCAUUAUUGAUUGUUAGGAUUAAUAUUCAAUUAAAUCUAUACUUAGAUUUAUAACGUUUAUACAUGAUUAUCUUUGAUUCUAUGUCUUUCAUUAAAUUGUUUACAUGGAGUGCUUAGGAAAACUUUGACUCUUUGUUAUUCAAUAUGUUCACAUGGGAUACUUAGAUGUCAUACUAUUAAGCGGAAAAAGAACCUAUAUUAGAUUUAAUUAUUUGGGCUUAAUUGUUAUAUCCAUGAGAUGACACAAAUUGAUUUCGAGUUGUCACUCUAAAAUUAGAGAUUAAUGAAUAUUUAGAUAAUUACUAGUUGAAUAGCGGUGGAUUCUGAAACCUUGGUAAUUUCUAUCUUAUUGAAUUCUCCUUUACUUUAAUUGUUUUCUUAGUUUAAUUAAUUUAAUUUCUUUUAAAACUCAAUUUGCUUAACUAGGUUAGAAUUAAUAUUAAUUUUAGAUUUAAAUUAGACUUUUCAAUUUAUAACAAUCCAUGUGGGAUCGACCUCGUUACCACUACUUUAUUUCUAGAUUCGUGCACUUGCGAGUAUAUUAAAAUUUUCACAACAAGUUUUUGGCGCCGUUGCCGGGGAUUGUGCCAGAAAGUCAGUUUAAUCUAGGUUGAUUUGAUUCUUCCACUAGUUAUAAUUUAUGUUGUCUUUUAUUUUAUUAUUAUUUUUAAUUAACAAAAACACACAAAAAAACUUUUAUUUUUCUUUAAAUUCAUUGUUUGGUUGUUUGAUUUCUUUUAUUUUUUAAAUUUUGUUUAUUCUCAUUAUUGUUGGUUUAUUUUAUUUUAUUUUUUUCUUUCCUUGUCUAGUUAGUUUAUGAGUGUUUGGGAAUGUGAUUCAACAAAUCGUUUGGUAAAAGAGAGUCAAAAAUUGAUAGUAGUCAAGUUAGUUCUUCUGAAGUCAUGGAUGACCCAAAUAGAUUAUUGCCAAUACUUCCACCAGUGCAAGCAGAGAAAACCCUUAGAGAAUAUUUUUCACCACUUGCAGCCAACCAACCAUCUUGUAUUGUGUUGCCACAAACUACAGCAACACACUUUGAACUUUUUGAACUUAAGCCCUCAGUCAUCCAACUUUUACCAUCUUUCCAUGGGUUAGAGAGAGAGGAUCCAUAUUUGCACAUUAAGGAAUUUCUUGACAUAUGCUCUACAUUCCGUUUUCAAAAUUUUAAUGAUGAGUUAAUCAGGCUUCGUAUGUUAUCUUUCUCAUUAAAAGACAAAGCAAAAGCUUGGUUGAAUUCGCUUUCUGCUGGGUCUAUAACUACGUGGGAUGAAUUGAAUAAUAAGUUCCUCACCAAGUUUUUCCCUAUGUCUAAAACAAAUGCCCUUAGGAGAGAGAUAAGUGAUUUCUAUUAAAGAGAGGGUGAGCAAUUUUAUGAGUGUUGGGAAAGAUUCAAUGAUUUACUCCUCAAGUGCCCCCACCAUGGUUUUGAGAAAUGGAGACUUAUACAAUGCUUUUAUAACGGUUUAACCAUGUCGAAUCGUCAUAUGGUAGAGUCUAUGAAUGGUGGGAGAUUUUUGAACCUACAUGAAGGGGCUGCAUGGGAUUUCUUUAAUUCACUUUCUGAGAAUUCUCAACAGUGAGAUUUUUCAAGCCAAAGGGAAAAAUCAUCUCAAGUUUCUAGAAAGGGGUUAUAUGAAGUUAAGGAUGAUUUUGAUGUGAAAUCCACUCUAAUUACACUUUCUAGAAAAGUAGAUGCCUUAGCUCUGAACCAAUCAAUGAAUCAUCAUCCUAGUGUAGCUAAUGAGGUUUGUGCUAUUUGUUCUAACUUGUCUCAAACAGCACAAAACUGUCCAUCAUUACCAGUCUAUCCAGAGGCUUAUUCUGAGCAGGUACAUGCCUUACAAUCAUAUGAGAAAACCUCCAAUAAUACAUAUUCACUCACAUAUAAUCCUAAUUGGAGGAAUCACCCUAAUUUUUCUUGGAAACAAAAUCAAUCUUUGUCAAACCAAGGAGGACAACAAUUUAACAUGCCCAAUCAACAAUUUGUCCCUCCUAACCAAGUAUAUCCUCCUGCCCAACAACCUAUAUCUCAAUUUGUUACACCCCAACAAAGAAAACCUUCUUUAGAGGAUACACUUCAAAGUUUCAUUCAGUCAACCUAAUAAGCUUUUCAGUCAAACACUCAAGCUAUUCUAAAGCUUGAACAUCAAUUGGGUCAAUUAGCAACUACUGUAGCGGAGAAAGAAAAAAGAAAAUUCCCCAGUCAAUCAAUUCCUAAUCCUAAAGGAGUGCAUGAAGUUGGAUCGAGUUCAAGCCAUCAGCAUGAAGAAGCAAAAUCAAUUAUGACCUUGAGAAGAGGAAAAUUGUUUGACAACAAAGUGGAGGUUCAAACAAAGAAGACAUCUGAGCCUACUUCUUCAGAUCCAAUUACAUCACAAGAAUCAUCACCAAAUGAUCUUGAAGAGAGUGACCCGCUAGCUUACAUUCCCAAGGCUCAUUUUCCUCAAAGGUUAACAAAGGUAAAGAAAGGGACUUCAACAUGUGAGAUUAUAGAAAUCUUCAAGCAGGUAAGUAUAAACAUCCAUUUACUCGAUGCUAUUAAGCAAGUUCCUUCCUAUGCCAAGUUUUUGAAAGAUUUAUGCACUAAAAAGAGAAAUUUGCAUGUCACUAAAAAGGCGUUUUUAACUGAACAAACUAGCAAUUUACUUCAAUGUAAAAUGCCACCAAAAUUUAAGGAUCCUGGUUCUCCUACUAUUUCAUGUGUUAUAGGGAACCAAUGUUUUGAUAAAGCAUUAUUGGAUUUAGGUGCUAGUGUUAAUCUCUUACCUUAUUCCAUUUACAUGCAGCUUGGACUAGGUGAGUUAAAAUCAACUCCUAUUAUUUUGCAACUUGCUGAUAGGUCAAUGAAAAUACCUCGUGGUAUUAUAGAGGAUGUGUUGAUACAGAUUGACAAAUUUUAUUAUCCUGUUGAUUUUAUUGUUAUUGAUACUCAACAUGUACAUGAUCUUAAGAAACACACUCCACUUAUUCUUGGUCGUCCUUUCUUAGCUACAGCUGAUGCUCAUAUUAGUUGCAGGACUUGAAACAUGCAAUUGUCUUUUGGUAACAUGACCAUGGAAUUAAAUAUUUUUAAUGUUCCCAAGCAGGCACAAGAAGAUGAUGAAGUCGUUGAAGUAGAUAUGAUAGAAGCAUCAAUUGAUGACUCACUUAUUUCUAACCAUUGUGACAAUCCAUUAAUACCUUGCACAACUGACUCUGAUUUCUCUAUUGAUGUUGAUAGUGAUAUUGAAGAAGUUAAUGCUUUACUUGAUUCGACUCUUAUCAUAGAUCUAAUUAAGUGGAAAGAAAAGAUAAGAUUGAGCCACUUCCUCCUGAAGAGAAAAGUGCAACAUAGGUCACAUUCUGACAUAAAAAAGGUGGUAAGAUCUAAAACGCUUAAAUUAUUAGAUUUUUAUACUACUUUAGAUAACUCUCAGGAAAGCUUAGAACAGAAGAGAUCAAAGCAAUGCGAUAUUGAGGAGUUUCAUUACCAUCAUCCUUUUAUGGAUAAAAUGCUCCAGUGCUUAAUCAAUUAUGCUUUUUGGUAUUUUCUAUAUAAUUGCUUUAAUUUUCACCAAAUUCUUAUUGAUCCUGGUUGAUUUGUUGUUUACAUUAAUUAGUUAGUUAGUCGGAUUUUUUUAUUAUUAUUUAUAUUUCUUCUAACGUUUUCUUUUGAGUUGUCAUUCUUUUAAGUUUUCCUAGCUCAGUCAGGUGUGUUCUCUCCAACUUUCUCUUUUAUUAUUUAUGUUUUUAUUUUUCAUCUUUUUGCGUGCAUAUCUUUUAUUUAUGACACAUUGAGGACAAUGUUCCGAAUAAGUUUGGGGGUGGGAAUAAUGUUGCUUUGUUUGUUAAAAAAAACUAAAAAAAAAUUUCAAAAAUUCAAAAAAAAAUUGUGUUUUUUUUGUUUUUACGUGAAAAGCCAAUGAUAAAAACUUGAUUGACAAUGAAUAUGGUUUUUAGAAAGGGUUUAAUAUUGUCUUAAUUUAUACUUGAUUCUUAUGUUAGUUCCUCUUGAUUGAGAUUCUUUAAAAUAUAAGCACUAAUAUCAAUUCUUUCAUAAUUUUGACUUGAAAUUUGAGAUUGACGCAGCCUGAGUUGAGAAUUUUAGAUAGAGUAAAUGACUGUUUGUCUUUAUUCUUAUCUCCACAAUACAAAAUAGUAUACACAGGCACCAAAGUCAGAAAUAACUACCUAUAAUCCUUAAGAGUGAAGCUAUCCUUGAGUAAUUUAGGCCUAUGUACCACAAGUAUGUAGAGGAUAAUCUACCAUGAGAAGAAUGCUACCUUAAGGGGUAGAGUGAAAGCUCCUGACUAUGGUUAAAAAAAAAAGAAGAAGAAAAAGAGAAAGAAAAAAUCAAAUCAAGUGCAUGUGCUGAAAAAAAAAUCAAAAGAAAAUGCACAUAAAAGCCUGUGAAAAAAAAAUUGGAGAUUAAGAUGAUAAGAUUAGCUUGACCUACUCUUUUCUUUUUUUGAGGCGAAGGUUGUUGAUAUUGAAGAUUUUAGGAAUGAAUUUGAUUGAAUUGAUUUCACACACACACAACAAGAAUCGAAAGAGAGAUGGGAUUGAUUAUUGAAUUAAAGUUAGAACUUUGCCAAUAUUUGAAAUUUUGUUUGAGCUAUAUAAUUUAUGCAAUCUUUGAGGGUAUUUUCAUAUUUUAUUUAAAGUUUUUUUUUCUUUUUAUUUUAUUUUAUUUAUUUUUUAUUUUUUUAAAAUGAUGUUUGUGGGUGUCAUCACUGAAGCUCUCACGAGACUAUAACUCGUCCACUAGGGGUUUAAAGGCUUGUUGCAUACGCUAAAUGCAAUCGCGAUUACCUGCGAAAAUGGUUUAGUUAGGAUUUACUUUUUGUUUUGUUAUUUUUUUUUUUUUUUUUAGUUUUAGCUUUGCUCGAGGACUAGCAAAAUCUAAGUUUGGGGGUAUUUGAUGAGCAUAAUUUAUAUACAUAUUUUACCUUUAAUUAUAUAAUUAUUAGUUAUCUUUAUUAGUUAUUUUUAAUUAAUUGAAUUAUUUUAUUGCAUAGGGAAUUAAUUGGAGAUUGGGAAACAAAAAGUGCAUAAAGAAUAACAAGUUUGGGAAAGCAUCAAUCAAAGCCAUGACACAAUUAAGAGUUUAUAGCAUAUGAAGGCAAGAGUAAUUUGCACUAAAAAAGAAUUUCAAUUAUUCAAGUGAUCUGGACGUGCAUAGUAUUGUAAUGCAUGGAAAGCAACUUAAAGGGGCCCACACUUGGCUUUUACAAUUGGAAAAAGGAAUCCUAGUGCAAGCUUAAUUGGUGAGCACGUGAGUGAGAGCAAAGAAAAUUAAAAGGCCAAGCCUUUUGGCUUAAGGAAAUAACAAGGUCGGUGGGGCCCAUUUUAAAGAGUAAUAUAAAAGCAAGCUUUUGGCUUUUGGAGAGAGAAGCCGCCAGAGGAGGAAAACGCGAGACAAAGAGAAGAAAAUAUGCCGCAGUUCGACUUCUAUGGUUGGUUUUAUCUCUUUUGUUACUCUUAAUUCAAGUAUGUCUAGCUAAUUUUCUUAUAUUGAAGUUAAGGAUGAAAUCAUAUUCAAUGAAAUAAUUAUCUUUUUAUUUAUUUAAUUCCCAUAUAUGUUCUUUAAUGAUUAUGAUUUUUAUUUCACAUGAUUAAUUGGAUGUUAUUAAAAUCUUUUCAUCAAUUCUGUCAUAUAUUAUUGAUUGUUAUGAUUAAUAUUAAAUUAAAUCUAUACUUGGAUUUAUAAAGUUUAUACAUGAUUAUCUUUGAUUCUAUGUCUUUCAUUAAAUUGUUUACAUGGAGUGCCUAGGAAAACUUUGACUCUUUGUUAUUCAAUAUGUUCACAUGGGAUACUUAGAUGUCGUACUAUUAAGCGGAAAAAGAACCUAUAUUAGAUUUAAUUAUUUGGGCUUAAUUGUUAUAUCCAUGAGAUGACAUAGAUUGAUUUCGAGUUGUCACUCUAAAAUUGGGGAUUAAUGAAUAUUUAGAUAAUUACUAGUUGAAUAGUGGUGGAUUCUGAAACCUUGGUAAUUUCUAUCUUAUUGAAUUCUCCUUUACUUUAAUUGUUUUCUUAGUUUAAUUAGUUUAAUUUCUCUUAAAACUCAAUUCGCUCAACUAGGUUAGAAUUAAUAUUAAUUUUAGAUUUAAAUUAGACUUUUCAAUUUAUAACAAUCCCUGUGGGAUCGACCUCGUUACCACUACUCUAUUUCUAGAUUCGUGCGCUUGCGAGUAUAUUAAAAUUUUCACAACAUUCGGCACUCUCACUCCUUAAGAGAGGUCAGGGGUUCAAGCCUCGCUCUCGUAUGGAGUCACCACUUUGACCAGCACUUUACCCCUUACAGACCGACCCGGUGCGAGCAUGAAUUAGUCUGGGUUGUGGUACGGGCUUAAAGGUGCCUCCCACAAUUGAGACCCACUCAGGACCACCUCGUGGUUCGGACAAAAAAAAAAUUGAAAUAAAUUAUCUCAAAAUAAUUACUAACCAGAAAAAACAAAGGGGUUUAACUAGGUUAUGCAUACCUUUGAAAAUUAUAUGUUGAUCGAUAAGCAUGAUGAUCACGAUUGAGGAGUUUAAUUAAAAUUUAUAAGAUUUUAAAAUUAAUCAGGGUUAAAUUCUAAAUUUUAGAAAGAGAGGUUUUGUGAGAAUGCUGAAAGGGUGUUAAUAGUUCCACUCUUUUUUAAAAAAACCAUAGUCAUCAUUUUUCCCGAUUUCUUCUUCCCAUCUCCAUCUUAUUUAGAAAUUUCCCAGAGCCUUUGUUUCCCACCAUUCAUUUUUCUUCUUUCUAAUUUAAGAUUAUAGUAUUAUAAAAAUAAUUACUCACAUUUUAUCAAACACCUCCAUUAUACCAAGGCCUUGUUUUAGUAGUAGGCUUUUAUUAUCUCAAUAAAAUUGAAAAAACAAAGCUCAAUAAUAUUGGAAAAAAAACCUACCCAUAUUUGUAACUUUAAUUUAUUAUUCUCCAUAGACCUACUUUUUAGCUUUGAAUUUUGUUGGAGCCAUAUAUAAACAGAAUAUGUUGAAAUCAGCACAAAAAAAAAACUAAUUAUAUAAUUUUUGUUCCCAAGGACACGACUGUGUGAUUUUUAAGAAGUUUUGUUUGGCUGGCCACUUAGGUUUAAAUCUUGGUGGAGAUUAGGGGUUAAGAAAUAAAUUUGGACUUUGCACACCCCUUUAACUUUUAAAAAGAAUGAAAAAAACUAAUUAAUUAAUCUUUAUUUUAUUUAUUAAAUGUCAUAAUCAUAUGCAUAUUUUAUUUGUUAUCUUUCUAUUUAAAAGAUAGGAGGGCAAAUAAAACUGAAAUAAAUGUUUAUCCCUAUCUCCAUCUUUCAAGUUCCAUAGUUAGGUGACCAGCUAAAGAAAAUUAAUUGAAAGUUACUCCAUCAAAUUAAAAAAAAUUAUUUAUUUAAUUUGUGGAGAUGUAGAAAAUCAAACCCCAUACCUUUUCGCAUGCAAAAGUGUCAACCUGGUCUAGCUAUGUUGCAACAGUAAACAUAUUUUAAUACAUGACUAUCAUCUUUUAUCCUAAAUACUACUAUAACUAUGGGUUCAGUUAUGCUGUAACUGUGGUAUGGUACCACAGUUGUUUUCAACCAUUAAAUUCAACUUAUAUAACUAUGCAACUGUAGAUCUAACGGCUGAAAGCAACUAUGGUACCAUACCACAGUUGCAACAUAGUUUUGCCCCUAUAACUCAUAACAUUCAAUUGAAAUAAUAAAUGUUAACACUUGGCUAUAAAUAAAGGUUUUGUACUUGAAUCUUCAUGCAUGACCUUCAUUCCUUUAUUGACUUUGCUAACACAGAUUUUGAGGCAUUAAAACUAAAUAAUAAUUGACUUUGUGGGCCGAGGAUGCCAGCAACAAGGAGACCACAAUUAUCACUAGUUAAGUUACUCUAAUUGCCGUUGUCUUAUAUUCAUAAAAUAUUAGUAAUAAGAUUAUUGUAGAAUUUUUUUAUAUUAAAAUUAAGUCAAUUUGUUAUAACAAAUUUAGUUGAGUUUAAUCGUGUUACUACAUACAUUGAAUAAUAAUAGAAUUCUCGACAAAUAUUUCAAUAUUUUUAUCCCAAGCGUUGGAGUGGCAUUUAUUUGUUAGACAAUCGAUUUUAGAACUUAUAAAAUUAUUCGUUACUGAAUUGCACCAUAUGCUGCAUGACCUGAAACUUAAUAAACGGAACGUAGCGUUGGCAACAUUCACUGUCAUGACUUUGUGACAUUAGAAUUAAAUUUUUUUGCACAUUUAAUUUGUUUACUUCCAAAUUAAUAUUUAACAAAAUAUUUUUUCACAUUAUCAAUGGACAAAACUCCAACGAAAAUAACUAUACAAUAUAUGCUAGUAUUGUAUGCCAUAUCAUCUGUAAUUUUGUCAGGAUCGAUCAUUUUAAUUUUUAAGCAAAACUUUUUAUCAAUGGACAAACACCUCACACAGCUUGUCAGAGGCAUUAUUAUGAUGGAAAACUGAUAAACAGUGAACUCGAAACUCAAUUACUACAAGUCGUUUAGAGGAUUCAGUCUUGGAUGACUUGUCACUUGUGGAAUUCUUGAAGCCAGAACCGACAUAAUCUCAGUCGUCAUUCUGUCUUAAGUAAUACACAUGGUUUGCAUGUGUGUUGAAGCUGACUCUUUGCUUGGAUCAAGAAACGACGUCUUUGAGUGCCGUUUCUUAAACACACUUUAAAUCAGCUUGUGUCAAGCACGUGAGGUAGAGCUUUUUGAAUAGAUUUGGCGGGAAUGGUAGUUAGUGUAACAACCCAGAAAUAGAGGUUAAAAGGUGAAGGCUUUGUCAUCAUCUACACAUGAUUUGGGAAACAUUGAGAGUAGAGAAAAAGAUAGAGAGAGAAAGGGGUUAACAAGUUCUUGUUCUCUGUAAAUCGAUUUAUAUUCUUGUAAAGUUUGUGAUCUCAAUUAGUGAAAGACUGUUGCUUUGUUUCCAGUGGAUGUAGGCACCACUUCUUGGUGCUGAACCACUUAUACUUGGUGUCAUAUUGUUUCUUUAAUGCUUUGAUUCUUGCGUGUGAUUGUUGCUGGAUAAUCUGUGCUGUUAAUUCUCAAACCAUUGAUACAGAAUUAAUGUCUUGGGGAGAAUUUGGUUAGUCUUAUCAAAGCCGAAUUCACAACAAAUUGGUAUCAGAGCCCUCUUUUCUGUAUCAAGGUUCAAGAAAUGACUAACAAGGUGGAUCUUGAGAAGUUCAAUGGUCAGAAUGAUUUCAAUAUGUGGAGGAUCAAGAUGGAAGCAUUGUUAAUCACACAAGGUCUGGGAGAUGCCAUUGAUCCAGUCAUUAAGAGUGAAAAUGCAGAAGCCUAUUCUUCAAGAACUCCAGAACAGAUGGCUAAGAUUGAAAAAAAGGCAAGAAGCACCAUCAUCCUCAGUCUUGGUGACUUAGUGAUAAGGGAAGUUGCCAAGAAAAAGACUGUUGCUAGGCUCUGGGCAAAACUGGAACAAUUGUAUAUGACAAAGUCCUUAGCAAACAGGCUAUACAUCAAGAAAAAGAUGUUCUCACUGAGGAUGAUUGAAGGAGCAUCACUUGAUGAACACAUAGAUGAGUUUAAUAAAGUUUGUGAUGAACUGGAAACAAUUGAUGAAGGACUGAGUGAUGAGAGCAAGGCUUUGCUGUUAAUCAGUUCUUCACCAAAAUCAUAUGAACAUUUUGUGGAUGCCUUGUUAUAUGGAAGGCAAUCACUCUCCUUGGAAGAGGUUAAAUCUACUCUUGGUACCAAGAAGUUAAAAGAAAAACAAGAUAACUCAGAGAGUGAAUCAAGUGAAGGGCUGAUGGCAAGGGGCAGAUCUGAAAAAAAGGAGUACAAAGGAAAAAAACAAGGGAGAUCAAAGUCAAAGCAGAAACAUUUGAAGUGUUUUCACUGCCACAAAGAAGGGCAUUUCAAGAGGGAUUGCCCUGAGAGAAAAACAAAGCAAAAGGAAUCAAAAGACAAAUCUGGAAAUACAGCAAUAGCCACAGAAGAAACCAGUUUUGAGAUAGCUGAAGUCCUCAUUGCCACAAAAGAAAAAAACUCAAGGUCAGUGGGUACUAGACUCUGGAUGUACUUUUCAUAUGAGUCCAAAUAGAAAUUACUUUACUACAUAUCAGUCCUGUGAUGGGGGUAUGGUGCUGAUGGGAAAUAAUUCAGUUUGUAAAGCAGUUGGGAUUGGGACUGUAAGCCUUAAGAUGUAUGAUGGCAUGGUUAGAGAACUAACUCAGUUUAGGCAUGUUCCUGAGCUUAAAAGGAACCUAAUAUCUAUUGGCAUGCUUGAUCAAACUGGAUGUGUCAAUAAGGCUGAAAAUGGGUCAUUGAAAGUUAUCAGAGGCUCAAUAGUCAUAAUGAAAAGUUCCAAGCAAAAUGGUUUGUAUGUGUUGAAUGGACAUACAACUGUUGGAGAGGCAAGUGUCACUGAGAAGAGUGAAGACAAAGCAAGACUAUGGCACUUGAGGUUGGGGCAUAUGAGUGAAAGGGGAUUGAAGGAGCUUCAAAAGAAUGGGGUGUUUGGAAGUGACAAGCUAAGUUCUUUGGGGUUCUGUGAAGACUGUAUCCUAGGGAAGGCUUCCAAUCUCAAGUUUGAAUCUGCAGUUCAUUCUACCAAAGAGAAGCUUGCAUAUAUACACUCUGAUAUGUGGGGGCCUGCACAGGUAAAUUCUCUUGGUGGCUUUAAGUAUUUCUUAUCCUUAAUAGAUGACUAUUCAAGGAUGGUUUGGGUGUAUGUACUCAAAACCAAAGAUGAAGCUUUGGAAAAGUUUUAGAGGUGGAAAAUUCUGGUAGAAACACAGACAAGUUUGAAAGUAAAAGCUCUAAGAACAGAUAAUGAAUUGGAAUUCUGCAACAAAGAGUUUGGAGACUUUUGUAAAAGACAUGAGAUUAUGAGGCACAAAACAGUCAUACACACACCUCAGCAAAAUGGUUUUGCUGAGAGAAUGAACAGAACCUUAAUGGACAAGGUGAGGUGUAUACUGCUAUACUCAAAGCUGCCUAAGUCACUCUGGGCAGAGGCCUUAAACACAGCAUGUUACUUGGUAAAUAUAAGUCCAUCUACAGCAAUAGAAUGCAAAACACCUAUCGAGCUAUGGUCUGGAAGGGUUGCAGAUUACUUUAAACUGAGAAUCUUUGGAUGUGUUGCUUAUGCAUAUGUCAAACAAGGCAAAUUGGAGCCAAGAGCUUUAAGGUGUAGAUUUCUAGGAUACCCUGAUGGAGUUAAAGGCUAUAGGCUAUGGUGCAUUGAUUUGAAGCCACCAAAAUGCAUUAUCAGCAGGGAUGUAACUUUCAAUGAGUCAGAAAUCUUGAACAAAUCCAAAACCACUUAAUCCAAAGAUCAUAUAUCAGAAACAAGACCUGGGAGUGUUCAGUUUGAGGUGGAGUCCUAUGAACAAGAUAGGACUGAAUCAGAAACUGAAGGAGAUUCAGGAAGGGUUACUGAUGGAUUUGAUGUUGUUCAGGAGUCAGAGCCAGCUGAGAAUGAAGAUAAUUCUUAUCAGUUGGUCAGGGAUAGAAAGAAGAGAGCUGUAAGACCACCUAAGAGGUAUACAAUAGCAGAUUUCAUAGCUUAUACAUUAACAGUUGCACAAGAGGUAAAUGAGGAAGAGCUAAGAACCUAUAAAGAAGCUAUAAACAGCAUGGAUAAGAUGAAAUGGAAGGAGGCUAUGGAUGAGGAAAUUGAAUCACUAAUGAAAAAUGGAACUUGGAAGCUGAUAGUUAGACUAGAAAAAAGGAAGACUGUUAGCUGCAAAUGGAUCUUCAAAGUUAAGGAAGGUAUAUCUGAUGCUGAACCUAGUAGGUUUAAAGCUAGGCUGGUAGCAAGAGGCUUCACACAAAGAGAGGGGAUUGAUUUCCAUGAAAUCUUCUCUCUAGUUGUGAAACAUGCCUCCAUCAGAGUCAUCUUAGCUUUAGUUGCCAUUCAAGACAUGUACCUGGAGCAUAUGGAUGUUAAAACAGCCUUCCUGCAUGGUGAAUUACAAGAAGAAAUUGUAAUGGAACAGCCUGGGGGGUAUGUGGUGUCUAGUAAGGAAAAUCAUGUGUGCUUACUAAAGAAAUAUUUAUAUGGAUUAAAGCAGUCUCCUAGGCAAUGGUACUUGAAGUUUGAUAGUUUUAUGACAAAACAUGCCUACAAGAAAUGCAAUUAUGAUUGUUGCGUGUACUUUAGGGACAUUGGUGAUGGAAAGAUGAUUUAUCUUAUGCUGUAUAUGGAUGACAUGCUUAUAGCAUGUCACAGCAUAGAUGAAAUCAGUCAUUUAAAGAAUCUCUUGAGCAGUGAAUUCGAUAUGAAAGAUCUUGGAGCUGUAAGGAAGAUCUUAGGUAUGGAAAUUAUCAGAGACAGGAGAAGGAAGCUUAUGUUUUUAACCCAACAGAGCUAUGUUAAGAAGGUGUUGCUUAGAUUUGGGAUGCAUGAAUCCAAGUCUGUUCAAACACCUUUGGCAAAUCACUUCAAGCUGUCUGCUGCACAUUGUCCACAAACUGAUGCAGAGCAAGGAAAAAUGGCAAGGAUACCUUACUCCAGUGCAGUUGGGAGCCUCAUGUAUGCCAUGGUUCUCACUAGACAUGAUAUCUCACAUGCUGUGAGUAUAGUGAGUAGAUUCAUGGCAAAUCCAGGUUAUGAGCAUUGGAGGGCAGUCCAGUGGAUAAUGAGGUACCUGAAAGGCACUAUGGAGUUUGGUCUGCUAUAUGGAGGGUUAAAACAGGAAGGGCACAAGCUGGUGGGGUAUGUUGACUCAGACUUCGCUGGAGAUCUUGAUAAAAGGAGGUCUCAGACAUGUUUUAUAUUCACUUUGGGAGGCUGCACUGUGAACUGGAAAGCUACUCUGCAAAGUGUGGUAGCUUUGUCCACAACUGAAGCCGAAUAUACAGCAGCUGCAGAAGCUUUUAAGGAAGUCAUCUGGUUAAAAGGAAUGGUCUCAGAGUUAGGAGCAAAACAAGAAACAGUUGAAGUAUACUGUGAUAGCCAGAGUGCAAUACAUUUGAGUAAAAACCAGACCCAUCAUGAAGGAACAAAACAUAUUGAUGUAAAGCUUCAUUUUGUAAGACUUGAAGUUUCAAAGGGAACUGUGAAGAUGCUCGAGGUUCACACUGAUCAAAAUCCAACCGAUAUGUUGACUAAAGCUGUGCCUUCUGCCAAGCUCAACUUCUGUUUGAGCUUAGCAGGAAUUUGCAGUUUCUGAUCAGCUGCAAAAGAAAGGGAAUAAAGUAUACAGGAGUAGCUAGAGUUCAGAGUUCACACUGAUUAAAAGGUGCAGGCUUUGUCAUCGUCUACACAUGAUUUGGGAAACACAGAGAGUAGAGAAAAAGAUAGAGAGAGAAAGGGGUUAACAAGUUCUUGUUCUCUGUAAAUCGAUUUCUAUUCUUGUAAAGUUUGUGAUCUCAAUUAGUGAAAGAUUGUUGCUUUGUUUCCAGUGGAUGUAGGCACCACUUCUUGGUGCUGAACCACUUAUGCUUGGUGUCAUAUUGUUUCUUUAAUGCUUUGAUUCUUGCGUGUGAUUGUUGCUGGAUAAUCUGUGCUGUUAAUUCUCAAACCAUUGAUACAGAAUUAAUGUCUUGGGGAGAAUUUGGUUAGUCUUAUCAAAGCCGAAUUCACAACAAAAACUGUAAUGGUAUAUCUUGAAUUAUUGGUAGAAUAGUUCUUUGGAGCAAUAAAAACAGAUAAGACAGAUGAGAAAAUUGUCAAUACCCCACCGCAAAAGCAAAAGAAAACAAGGAAAGGAGACAAAAGAGGAAGAAGAAAAAGAAAAAAGAACGAAGAAAAAAAUGGUGCCGUGCGGUAUAGGCAAGAAGAAAAAAUAAUAAAAAAUAAUAAAAUAAUAGUGCACAACAAUCAUUUGAUUGCUAUAAAUAAAAGGCGUUUCCCUCAUUUUAUUCAUCGAAUUCUUCAGUUCCUUUCAAGCGAUUUAAGAGUCUAGUGAUUUGAGAGUUUGGGUGUAGUAUGAUUUUGGGUAGUGAGCUAAAAUACUACAAUACUUGUAACUCAUUUUUAUUAGUAAAAUAUUUUCCUUCUGACUUCGCCCGUGGACGUAUGCUAAAAGCCGAAUCACGUAAUUUCUGGUGUCCCUAUGUGAUUAUGUGUCUCAUUAUUUCUUAAUUUCACUUUAGUUGCGUGUCUGCGACACCCCUCAAUUUAUUAACAAAAAAUGGCCAAAAUUAUAUAAGUGACCCAAAUUUUUUUGUUAUUUCCAAGAAAUCCCCAAUCUGAAUGGGCUAGACCAGAGGGAGGCAAGUUAGAAAUACAUUUCCUUCAUAGACAAUAACAGUGAUGAGUCGAUGACAUCAAGCCACGUCGGUAUCAAUAUUGAAUUAAAGGUGCAAUUAUUCAGCCAAUGAACCUUACACAUCAAGAUAAAAGUCAAGAAAAUGAAAAUUUAUCCCAAUUAAAACACUUUCUGGCUGCAUUUAGUUGUUUCCAUUAGAAGUUAAAAACAACGUUUCUUUCGUUUUGUGGGCAACUCAACUGAGUUAGCUGGCUUCUAGUGCUAGUAUGUGAAAAUAGAAGGCUAAUGAUUUAUUUAUUAUCUUUUGACAAAAUUAUUAAAGAUAUAAUAGAUUUUCUAUGAUACAAGUGAAAAAUCACAUCAACAUAGCUUUCAAUCUACAGCAGCUAGCGUUUACCAAACACUUUGUUGUAGCUUUUAAGCUAUAGCUGCCCAACCUCAAUCUCAAACGCACCCUUAAUAGGUUGAUUGAAUUUGUGAGAUAUGGAUUCCACAUAUCUCAUGACCUAGUAAUUAUACAAGUGGUUCGUGAUCAAGACACAACAUUUGCUUCCGGCCUAGUGACCCAGCAAUCGCUGCACUGGUCGCCACCUAUGGUGCCGACGAUAUUGCAUGGUCCAAUUGUGGCCUUGAAUGGAAAAAGUUGAGCAAAUUAUUUGUGGACACGAUGAUAAGUAACGCAAGCCUUGAUGCUAGUUAUGGUCAAAGAAAACAAGAGGUUAAGAAUACUAUCAGAGAUAUUCAUAACAACAAAAAGGAAAAAAAAAAGGCAUUUGCAAGCCCAUUGAUAUUGGUGAAUUGUCGAUUUCAACUUUGGCAUGUGUAAUCCAGAACCUGCGCGCUGUGGUAUGGCGCUGGCACGCUUGCAUUAACGAGGGGACAAGUCUUGGGGCUGAGCUAACAUUUAAGCUCGCAGAACUCAUGGUGCUAAUGGGAACACCAAAUAUUUUUUUGACAUAUUUUGGUGCUUUCAUGGUUUAAUUCAAGGUAUAGAAAGGAGUGUUGAGAAUGUCAAAUAAAACGGCAUUGAAUGGAAGUUGUCAAAGACACGAUCCGCACCGAACGGCAACGACACGGUUGCUAAAAAUCCUUCCAUAAUAUGCAUAUCUAAUUUUUUAAAAAGUGUAACCUCUGCAUUUAUAAAUAUACUCAAUGUAUAAUGUUUUACUUAAGAAAUGAAAAACUUGUUUGUUCAAGGAGAAUAAAGAAAAUUUUUCUAUGAUUUUUUUAUGGUUUGAACAAAGAAGGUUUUAAUGAGUAUUAUAGACCUCGAUUGAAUGUUCGAAUGUAUAAUAAAAGAGAAACUGUCACAUAAAUGACAAAGAUACUUGGAAAAAAAAAAAGGGCAGCAAUAGAGAAUUAGAUUCGACUGCACAAAUAACUAGUUAAUUCAUCAAUACAUCAUUUUCUUGCUAGAAAAUGACAAUUAUGACAGCAAGCCACGAUAGUGUCAAUAUUGAAAUUGAUUUGCAAUUAUUCAGCCAAUGUGCCUUACACGUCAAGAUAAAAGUCAAGAAAAUGAAAGUUAAUAUCAAUUAAAACACUUCCUGGGCCGCAUUUAGCUCCAGUUUUUGUGGUAGGAAAACAAAGUUUUGUUUUAAAUUCACAUGGUGUGCACUUCCUAUAUAAAUCUAGAGUUGUGUCCCACGUUGAACAAUAAAGGAAAGUCACCUAAAUAUACAUGUAGGAUAAGUUACUUUAUUUAGUAAGUUUGUAUUUUCUUCUUUCUUCUAGUUUACAUAUAAAUUUGAUUAGAUAACUUAACACAUAUUUUAAUACUUGAUCAGAAGCCCUACGUACAGGUGGAUCUAGAAACUUGAUUUCUAAGAGUAAUACUAUAAUAAAAAAAUAAUGAUUCAUAGAACCAAUAUCAAAAUUUGUUUACAAGAUUACCCCCACUCAAAGGUAAUUUUCAUAGAAAUUAAUAGGAAAUUUAAUUGUUAGUGGGGUCAAAUUGCCCCCACACUCUGAAUGUAGAUCCACGCCCGACCCUGAGUCAAGUAUAUUUUGCCACAUAUACUCUGAAUGUCGGCAGGAAAAAUCUUCCACUUUAGUUUAAAAUUUUCACUUAAAAUUUAUUUACGUUAAUAAAGUUGGUAAAGGAAAUGAGUUUAAUUAAAGAAUAUUAUAGGAGAAAUUCUAUUGUUUGGCUUUUAAUAAAUUAAUUAAUAGGUUUAAAAAGAUUAAUAUACAUCAAAAUAUUAUUAGUUGGUGGUGGUUCCACAUCGGACUAAGACGUGGCACCUUACUUGUGAGAUUAAGACAAUCAGGCUUAGACUAUUUAAAUAUGUUUGAAGCUUAGAUGGCACCGCUUCAAUUUGCAUUAAUGAAUGUCAUUCUUUACCCUAAUUACUACGUAAUUGAUAACAUGCAAUUGAAAUAACUAAUAUUAGCACUUGGCUAUAAAUGAACUAAAGGCCGUGCAAUUGAAUCUUUACUUGAUCACUUCAUUCCUUUAUUUUGCUAACACAGAUUUUGAGAUAUUAAAACGAAAUAAUAAUUGAAUCUGGCUUUGUGGGUCGAUGAUGCCAGCAACAACGAGACCACAAUUAUCACUUGUUUAUUUGCUGUAUUUGACGUUGUUUCAUAUUGGUAGUAAUAACUAAUAAGGUCGUUGUAGAGUUUUUAAUCUUUUUUUUUAUAUUAAUCACGAGGUAUCCUGGGGAGGGCCCCAACUGUGGGAGGCACCUUUAAGCUCGUACCACAACCCAGACUAGAAGUCCCCGCUCGAACCGGGAGGCACAGUUUUUAAUCUUUUUUAUAUUAAAGUUAAGUCAAUUUGUUAUAAAUAAAUAAAAAAUUGGUUGAGUUUAAUUAUAUUGCUAUGUACAUUAAAUAAUUAUAAUAUUCUCGAGGGAAAAAGACACCUAGAACCUCAAGGUUUGGGGAAAUGGUCACAAAAACUCCUAAGUUUUAAAAAAGGAACACUAAAAUCUUUUUUUACCCAUAAUACCCUUUGACUAUAGUAAUUAGAAAAUUGACUUUAAAGGUUUUUAAAUAAUACAAAUUUAAUAUAAAUCAUAUAAUCUAUCUAGUACACUAAUAAUAUUAAAUUAUUUUUUAUAUUUAAAAUAAUGUUAAAAAAUUUAAAUUAUUAUAUUUAUUUUAAUAAUAUAUUUAUAAAAUUAUAAAGAUUUUAAAUAAAUCUUUGGAUUGAAUAUAUUUUACAAUUAAAAGUCUUCCUAUUAAUAAUAUUAAAAUUAAAUUUUAAGUAAUAUAUAUUCAAAAUAUUUUUAAUUUAAUUUUAUUUAUUUUAAUAUUAUGUUUCUAUCUAUUAUUAAAAAUUACUUUAAUAUAAUAAAAUAGGUCUAAUAGAUUGAAAAAUAUGAAAAUAUUUUUAAAAUUUUAAAUUAUUUUGAAAUGUAUAUAUUAUUACAUUUAUUUCAAUGUCAUAUUUCCAUUUAUUAUAAAAUUUUGGGGUUAUUUUUUUGGGAAUUUAUAGAGUCAAAGAGCAUUAUGGUUAAAAAAGAGUCUUGGUGUCCCUUAUUGAAAACUUUAGAGUUUUUGUGACCAUUUUCCUAAAUCUUGGGGGUGUUGAAGUGGCACUUAUUGUAAGAUUGAUUUUAAAAUAUGUAAAAUUAAUUUUAUUACAUUACCAUAUGCUACAUCACCUGAAACUUAAUAAAUGGAACGUAGCAUUACUCCACGUUCACCGUUAUGACCUUAUGACAUUAGAAUUAAAAUCUUUCGUACGUUUAAAUUGUUUACUUCCAAAUUAAUCUUUCGUAAAUAUUUUGUACAGAUCUUAUCGGAGUUAGCGUGUUCAUUACAGUGUUUCUUUUCUUUUAUCCUUUCUUUUGAAACGUAUUUCCUGUGGACAAGGAAAGCAAAUAAUACCCUGCCACCAGGACCUCGCGGCUUGCCUGUAAUCGGAUACCUUCCAUUUCUCGGAAUUACUGACUUACACAAGACAUUCACGGAAUUAGCUGGUCUAUAUGGCCCGAUCUUCAAACUCUGGCUUGGCAACAAAUUGUGUGUAGUGGUUAGCUCGCCUUCAACUAGUUCUAUAAGAAUAUCCCUUUUAAGGGAUUCUCUCUCUGCAAAAUUUUUUUAUCUUCUGGUGCAUAAUAAAAACUUAUGCCACUUCAUUAACCACAGAUAUCUUUUGAGGAAACGAUGUUUCGUUUUCUUUUGUUUUUUCCUUCCUAAUCCUCGCAUAUCGUGUGAAGGCUAAUAUAUCCAAGAAUCUAAAUCUCUGUAAAUCUUUUUCUAUCCAAAUCUACAUAAUAAUUUAAUCCAUGCACAAUAUCUAUAAUUAUAUCGGCUGUCGGCUGAUUUCGUGGAGGGGGCGGCAGUUCAAAUUUUUUACGUGCAUGUUGGAUGGACGUCUCUAUUAAAGGAGAGCCACCACUUGCAUGGUAAUUUUUUUAAAUAAAUAUAUACAUUUCAAAAUAUUAUUUCAUUGUUGUAUAGUUAACAUGUCACCUUAGAUGUAUUUUAGAACUUCUCCUAUUAAAGAUAAUCUCAUGCAGUGAUACUUCUCGUGAUCUAAUCAUUAGUAGAAUCUAUAAUUUCGCUACUGUAAUAAAAUCUGUCCCUACCCUAUAUGAAUGUAGAUAUUUGACGCGAUUUGUAAUUGCUUCCGACAGGAAAACAGCAAUAGUUUAAUUGAAAUUUGUGGUAUGGAUUCCACGAAUCUUAUGACAGAAUACUGACCACUCCAACCCUAUCCACAUUUACACGAUUAAAACACAAGCUUAGAUGUGACAAUGCAUUUGUCACUUUUGUUCAAAUUCAUCCUGAAACACUAUACACUAAAUAAUCGAAUAUGGCUUCGUGGGUCGAUGAUGCUAGCAGCAACGAGACUGCAAUUAUCACUUGUUUUGUUGCUGUACUUGUCGUGGUCUAUUUCGCAUGGAAUGUAAACAAAUCAAGUAAAGCAAAUGCUAAAUUGCCACCAGGAUCUCGGGGCUUGCCAGUAGUCGGAUACCUCCCAUUUCUUGGAACUACUGACUUACACAAGACAUUCACGGAGUUAGCUGGAGUUUAUGGUCCGAUCUUCAAGAUUUGGCUUGGGAAUAAAUUGUGUGUAGUGGUGAGCUCGCCUACCCUAGUUAAACAAGUGGUCCGUGAUCAAGAUAUAACAUUCUCAAACCGCGACCCACCGAUCGCUGGAACUGUGACCACCUACGGUGGCAAUGAUAUUGCACUUUCCAAUUAUGGUCCCGAAUGGAAAAAGUUGCGAAAAUUAUUUGUGAGCAAGAUGAUGAGUAAUGCAACCCUUGAUGCUUGUUAUGCUCUAAGAAAACAAGAGGUUAAAAAUACUAUCAGGGAUUUGUACAACAACAAUAAGGAUAAUAUUGGCAGUGGCAAUGGCAAGCCCAUUGACGUUGGUGAAUUGUCGAUUUCAACUUUGGUACGUGUUAUGCAGAACAUGCUGUGGGGUCAAGCAUUGGAAACAAGAGAGAAAGAGAUUACUAAUCUCGGGGCUAAUCUUGCAGAACUCAUGGUGCUACUGGGAACACCAAAUAUUUCGGAUAUUUUUCCAGUGCUUUCAUUGCUUGACAUGCAAGGUAUAGAGAGAAGAGCUAAGAAGAUUUCUCUAUGGUUUGAAAACAUUAUCAAUUCUGGUGUUGAACAGUAUAGAAACAAGUUUUCUGUUGUUAAAGGUGAAGAAGCUGCAGCAGGAAAAAAUAUUGAACGAUCAAGAAAUAAGGACUUCUUGCAGUUACUGUUGGAGCUUCAGGAAAAUGAAGAUAGUGCUUCAUCUAUUAGCAUGAACCAACUAAAGGCCGUGCUCGUGGUAUGUUAAGCAACUAGACACAAAAAGUUGUAAAAGCACAGUGAUAUAUUUGCGCGAGGCCGCGAGUGAUGUUUUGCCUCGAGAACUCUCAAUUUUAUCUUACGGUAAAAAAUGUUUUUCAACUUUUUUUAAUUAGAAUUUUAUUGCAAUUUAUUUAACAGGACAUAAUUGUGGCCGGAACCGACACCACAACUACGAUGGUGGAAUGGACAAUGGCAGAGUUGAUGCAACAUCCACAAGUAAUGAAGAAAGUUCAAGAAGAAUUAGCUCAAGUUGUGGGCAUGGACAGUUGUGUUGAAGAAUAUCACUUGCCUAAAUUAAAUUAUUUAGAUGCUGUGGUGAAAGAAACAUUUCGUUUGCAUCCUGCGUUGCCCUUAUUGGUACCUCGCACGGCAAGCGAGAACAGCAAUAUUGGUGGCUAUACCAUUCCCAACGACACUAAUUUUAUGUUGAAUGUUUGGGCUAUUCACAGGGAUCCUCAACUUUGGGAUAAUCCCUUAGAUUUUCGACCUGAGAGGUUCUUGAAUGAUGAUAUCAUAAGCAAAUUCAAUUACUCGGGUAACAAUUUUCAGUACUUGCCAUUUGGUUCUGGUAGAAGGAUGUGCGCUGGCAUUCCUCUAGCUGAGAGGAUGUUGAUGCUUGUUCUGGCUUCGUUGUUGCACUUGUUUGAGUGGAAAUUGCCCCCGGGCACAAAGCUAGACUUAGCUGAAAAGUAUGGGAUUGUCAUGCGGAAAAAAGAGCCUCUGAUUGCUAUUCCAACACCAAGGCUACCAAAUUCAGAUCUCUACCAGUAAGAUCAAAAUGGUUGUGAUGAUAUUAUUUCCCAUUGUAUUGGAAUAUUUUUGUGUGAUUUGAAGUUCAAUCAUAAUAAAAUAUUUUAAUAAAAUGUCCUCGGUUGCUAAUUUUUCAAUAGUAUACUCUAUCAUCGUUUCUAACUGUCUUUUAGAGCCAUUUGGUCUAAUUUAUUUUUGAAUUAAAAUCCAUAAAUAUUUAAAUUUUUGAAUCAUAUUAAGAAUUAUCUGGAGUGUAUGGUCUGAUCUUCAAGUUCUGGCUUGUAAACAAAUUAGAGUUCUGAUAUUUGCCCCGGGUCAAACCCCGAAAUUAAAUAAAACGGCGUCGUUUUGUUUUUUUUUUUUUUUUUUUCUUUUUUACUUCUUCCAAACGUUGCCAUUUCACUUGUCAUUUGCAAGUGACUCCAUUGAUCCUUAGUUGAAACAGAGUUACACCGUAAAUCUCUUCCUCUUCGUUUCUUCGUUUCACCAGGGAACGAGACAGAUAAAAUCCAGCCAUUCUUCGACAUAACAAGAUAUCGAUUAGAAUCCAACGACAUAACUAUAAACCAUGACAUUGCGCUUGAUUUUGCGAAAUACCGAUUAAGAACCAGUAACUUUGAAUCCAAUGACCGUUAAGAGUUUGAAAUUGGUUUCAAAUGACUAAUGAGUUAUCAGAUUUCUUUGCGUCUACAUUUUCCUUGAAGGUUUCUCAGCAGCCAAACAAAUACAAAGCAAAUUGCAGAAGAAACACAUUUUGUUCCAAUGAAAAAUGUACGGAAACAUUUUAAAUAUGGAAAAUUACCUCAAAAUGAAGGCUCGCAAGAGAUUCGAGCAACAAAUUAGAUCAAAGGAACCGGCGCUGAGCAAGAAAGUGAGCUCAAAGAUUCCGAAACACAAACGUAAAUUCACAAAAAUGCAAAUCUAUGAUGAACGCCAAGAUCAAAAUUUUCGAAGAAAGGGAGCUGAAAAAAUAAAUGAAACGUCAAACUAGAUGACAAUGGAUUUGCUUCUUCAAAGGAGACAAUGAAAUUGUUACUAGAGACAGCUAGAGAAAUAGAGAGAGAGAGAGAGAGAGCUUGAAUUGGCUGUACCCCCACCAGAAAGUGGGUAGUGCCUUUUCCACUUGGACUUGAUAUGCGAAUCUGAAAAAAUCUGAACGAAGGACUGACUCAUCCCAGCUCGAAAGCAAACCAAGCUAGGACUGACUGAAAACGUUGCCGUUUGGAGAAGUUAAAAAAAAAAACUAAACAAAACGACGCCGUUUUGUUUAGUUUCGGGGUUUGACCCGGAAUUUGACCCGGGGCAAACAUCAUUUUCCAACAAAUUAUGCAUGGUCGUGUACACGCUUUCCCUAAUUAAGCAUGAGGUUCGUGAUCAAGGCACAACAUUCACUCCCUGCGACCCAACAAUCGCUACAUUGUUUGCCACCUAUAGUGCCAACGAUUUUGCACGGUCCAAUUAUGGUCCCCAAUCGAAAACGUUGCGCAAAUGUUUUCUGGGCAAGAUGAUAAGUAACGCAAGCCUUGAUGCUUGUUAUGGUCUAAGAAAACAAGAGGUUAAUAUAUAUAUAUAUAUAUAUAUAUAUAUAUAUAUAUAUAUAUAUAAAUUGGCAUUGUCAACUUUUGUAUGUUUUAUUCAGAACCCGCUGUGGGUUGACGCUAGCAUGCUUGCGUUAGGAGACGAGGGGACCAAUCUUGGGGCUGAGCUAAAAUAUAAGCUUGUAGAGAUCAUCUUGCUAAUGGUAAUGUUUUCCGAUGCUGGUUUAAUUCAUGGUAUAAAAAGGAGAACAAAAAAGAUUUUUCUAUGCUUUGAAAAUAUUAUAAUUUUUAUUUUAUAAUUUUUAAUAAAAUCUCUCAUUGAUAGCCAAACAAUUAAAAUUUUUGUAAAGCUUUUGUGGACUUUUGAUCGCGUAUGGUGCCAAUGUAUUGCGUGGUCCUAUUAUGGUUCCAAAUGGAGAAAGUUGCACAAGUUUUUUGAGUACCAGAAGAUCAGUAAUGUAAGCCUUGAUGGUUGUUAUGGUCUAAGAAAACAAGAGGCUAAAAAUUCUAUCUGGGAUUUUUAUAACAACAACAAAAUUGGCAAGCCCAUUGACAUUGGUGAAUUGUCAGUUUCAACCUUGGUAAGUGCGAUUCAGAACAUGCUGUGGGGUGAAACGCUUGAAAUAACAAAGAAAUGGAUUUACUAAUAUUGGGGCUGGGCUAAGAUUUAAGCUUGCAGAACUCACGGUGCUAGAGGGAACACCGAAUAUUUUGGAUAUCUUUCCAGUGCUUUCAUGGUUUAAUAUACAAGGUUUUCAGAGAAUAGCAAAGAAGAUUUCUCUAUGGUUUUAAAAUAUUAUCAAUUCUACUGCUGAACGCUAUAGAAACAACGUCUCUAUUGUCAAAAGUGAAGAAGCAGCAGCAGCAGGGAACAAUAUUGAAGGAAGGAAUAAGGACUUGGUGCAGUUACGCUUGGAGCUUCAAGGUAAAGAAGACAAUGCUUCAUCAAUUAGCAGGACGCAAUUUAAGAGCUUGCUCGUGGUAUGUUGCGCAACUAGCCACAGACAGUUACAGAAACUGAGUUUGGCAGAUUACGACCGUUUCUGGUGAUUACAUAAUUAUUUGUGGCUGUUUUUUUUUUUUAAUUGUAAUUUUCUUAACAGGAUAUAAUUUAGGGUGGAACCAACACCACAACUAUAAUGGUGGAAUGGACAAUGGCAUAAUUGAUACAGCAUCCACAAGUAAUAGAGAAUGUACAGGUAGAACUAAAUCGGGCCGUGGCCAUCGACAGCCAUGUUGAAGAAUUUCACCUAGCUAAGUUAAAAUAUUUAGAUGCUGUGGUGAAAGAAACAUUCUGCACUGUAAUAUAAUACAUGAAUCAUAUGUCCUCUAUUGUUUUUUUAUUUUUCUCUUUUUUUCAAUAGCUUAAUCUAUCAUUAAAAUCUUCUGAAAUUCUAAAUUAAUAUACAUUCAACCUAGAGUUCAAGCCAAAGUUUUAUUGAGCAUUAAAAAAAAAAAAAAUUCUACGACUCAAAAUUUUGUGGAGUAUAAAUUAAAAAUUAUGCGCCUACUAAGAGACAAAAAAUAAAUGAUACACAUUAACCAAUCAAAGGCGAACAAGAGAUUAUUAACAAUAACCUAAUAAUAAAAUUAUAAUGAAUAAAAAAGAAAUGGUACCUAGAAACACAUCACAGCCAUUUAAGCAAUCACUUACCCACAAAAUCCAAACAUAUAAACUAUGUGGGGGGGGGGGGGGGGGGGGGGGGUGUCAUGAUACCUUUGGGUUUCAUGAUAAUCAAAAUUGCAAUACCAUUAAAGACUCAAAAAUAAAAAAAAUCAUAGCCAAUAAAAGAGAAAAAAUAACCCACAAAAAAUCAUCAAGAAAAUAAAUUUGAGACUAAGAGAAGAUAUUAAUUAAACCCUGGGUUGCCUUGGAACCACGGCUUUGGCUUCCAUUUUUCAAUUCUUGGCGACAAGUCAUUUCUUGUUUGUUUACAAAGAUGACGGCUGAUUAAUGAAGCUCUAUUAACAAUGAAUAAAUAAAAAAACUGGCGCCUUGAAAAGACUAACGGUCAUAUUUUUCAACUCCGAAUUAGUGCCGUUUGAUGAGUCCUUGCCAAAACAAUCACUAGGCAAAUAACAAUCAUUUUUCAACCAGCAAAACUCAUUCAUUGUAUUUCACCUUAGUCAAGAUUUAAAAAUUGUUUCAAAAUAAACCUAGUGGUUAGAACCCAAGCGUCACAAUUGUGAGGUCAUGGGUUUGAGCCCCCACAACGUAUUGUGGGGGUUAAUUUUCUUCUUCAAUUUGAGUGAAAACAGUUCUCUCCCUUUCGAAAUGUGGGUGGAGUGGACGUCCCUCAAAUAUUAGAGAGGGUUCAAAUUUGGAUUGUACUAUAUAAGAUUUAUAAAUUAGUCCCAGUAAUUAUCUGAUUGUAAAUAUCAAUAUACUAAUCUAAUUAAAUAUGAGUUGUAAUAUGAGCGUUAGUCUCAUGUAAUUAAAAAAAAAAUGUUUCAAAAUAGGAUUCUUAAAAGGUUGGGGAAAUGGCCAUCAAUAUCCCCAACUUUCCAAAAAGAGACACCAAGACCCAUUUUGACCAUAAUACCCUUUACUUCUAUUAUCCCCAAAAAAUUGACUCUAAUGUUUUAUAAUAAAUAAAAAUAUAACAUUAAAAUAAAUGUAAUAGUAUAUACAUUUUAAAAUAGUUUCAAUAUCUAAAAACCAUUUUAAUAUUUUAAAUCCUAUUAUAUAUAUAUUAAAGUAAAUUUUAUAAUAAAUAGAAUCAUAAUAUUGAAAUAAAUGCAUUAAAAUUUAAAUUAUUUUUAAUAUUAUGUAAAAUAAUAAUUUUAUCAUUAUAAGUAUAUGAGAAUUUUUUUAAUUGUAGAAUGUAUUUAAUGCAAAUAUUUAUUUAAAAUCUCUACAAUAAAUAAAAAUAUACUAUUAAAACAAAUCUCUACAAUAUAUACAUACAUACAUAUACAUUGGCCUGGUAUUUUAUUUUUCAUUUUUUAAACUUAUUAAAUCCUCUAACUAUCAUUUGAUUAUUUUUUUCAAUGAUGAAGAGGCCAUUGCCGGAUAAAUUAUUAAAAUCAACUAGUUCUACAAGAAUGUCCCUUUUUAAAGGAAGAUGAUUCUCUCUCUCGAAAUUUUUUAUCUUGUGCUACAAACUAAAAACUUAUGCCAUUUCAUUAACCACAGAGAUCUUUGAGGAAAUGAUGCUUCGCCCCCCCCCCCCCCCCCCCCCCCCCCCCCCCCCCCCCGCGGCGCCAAAAAGUGUCCUUCCAUAUUUUGUGAAGGCUAAUACAUCGAUGAAUCUAGAUUUCUUUAAAUUUUUUGUUUUACUCAAUUCGAGAUAAUAAAUAGUUUAUCUUUAUUAAAUCUUUACUUUAACAAUGAUAGAUAUUCAAUCCAUGCAAAUAUCUAUCAUUGUAUGAGCUGAUUGCGUGGAGGGAGCGGUAAUUGAAAUCUAAUUGAAAACAGCAGAAGGCUGUUCUUGACAGAUCUCAAAUAUAUUACGGACACGUUGGGAGACAUCUCUAUCAUAGAUAUCCCCAUGCAGUGAUAUUUGUCGUGAUCUAAUUUUUAGUAAAUCUGUAAGAGAGAUUGUAACAUCUUUCAAGUUUUUUGGUUUGAUAUUCUAGACGAAAACGGUUUGUCGUUUCUUGAGCAAACGGCUAACCGUUUAAGUCCAGAGAGCAUGUUUGUUGUUCUGGAUAAAACGGCUCACCGUUGUUGCGAAAACGGCUAACCGUUUAACUCAAGAGAGCAUGUUUUAUGUUCUAGAGAAAACGGCUCACCGUUAUUGAGAAAACGGCUAACCGUUUAUUUACAGAGAGCAACGUAUUUGAUAUUCUGGAAUAAAAUGGCUCACCAUUUAUUGAGAAAACGGCUAACUGUUUAUUUCCAGAAAGGCGUCAAUUAGAAAAACGGUUAGCAAGAAUGAAAAUUUCAAUUGACAAUCGAUGCAAAUUCAAACCAAAAGAGUGUCUUCGAAAAAGUACCAUUUCUAAUGGUUGUAUUCUUUCAAAUAAACAUCUUCUUCAUUAAAGAAAUACACACAAUUAGAUUGAUAAUCAGAUUUUGACAGGUUUCUUAUAUGUUCUGGAAAUACAAUCUUAUUUGCUAGAGAUUGUAUUCAGGAUUUGUUAUAUCUUGGGGGUAAUUUGCCAUUAAAACUAUAUAGCAAACCAAGAUUGGUGAGGGCAAAUAAAACCUUAAAGGAAAGUAUGCAAACACGUCUCAAAUCCUAUGAAACUUUCUUUGUUCUUUGCCUCCAUAUUCUUAUUAUUCACUAACAAAAUCCCCAUGCAGUGAUAUUUGUCGUGAUCUAAUUAUUAGAAAAAUCUAUGAUUUCGCUACUGUAAUAAAAUUUGUCACUACUCUACAUUAAUCUAAAUGUCUGAUGAGAUUUGUAAUUGCUUCCGACGGGAAAACAGUUAAUAGGUUGAUUGAAUGUAUGUGGUAAAGAUUCCACGUAUCUCACGACAGAAUGCUGACCACUGGAACCCUAUCUACUUUUACGCGAUUAAUUCACGAGCUUAGGCACGACAAUUGCAAUACAAAUUAUCCCUUCAUCAUAUAUUUCGUUAAAAUUCAUUCUGAAGCACUAAAACUAAACAAUCGAAUAUGGCUUUGAGGGUCGAUGAUGCCAGCAGCAAUGAGAGUGCAAUUAUCACUUGUUUAGUUUCUGUGCUUGCCGUGGCUUAUUUAGCAUGGAAUGUGAAAAAAUCAAGGAAAGCAAAUGCUAAACUGCCACCAGGACCUCGCGGCUUGCCUGUAGUCGGAUACCUCCCAUUUCUCGGGACUACUGACUUGCACAAGAAAUUCACGGAAUUUAUUUUACUAUUAUAUUUAUAUUCAAAAUAAUUUUAAUUAGCUUUUAAAAUGAAUGAUUUUAGGAAAUUAUAAAUAAAGGUAACUAAGAAUUCUCUUAAUGUAAUAUAUUAUUAAUUAGUUUAAAAAUACAAAUUUAUUAAUUAGAGAAAUUAUUAGUGAAUUUAAAUUAAUGAUCUUAAUGAUUUGUUUGUACGAUUGCCCCCAAUCAAAGGUAAUUUUCCUAAAAAUUAUUAGGAAAUUAGAGAAAUUUAAUUUUUUUAGUGGGUUCAAUUGCCCACACACCCCGACUGAAGCAUUUUUUACAAUAUGUACUCCGUUUGUCGGCAGGAAAAUAAAGGUCUUGACACAUGAUCACUUCACUCCUUUAUUUACUUUGCUAACGCAGAUUUUGAGGUAUUAAAACAAAUAAUAAUUGAAUAUGACUUUGUGGGUCGACGACGCCAGCAACGAGGAGACCGCCAAUUAUCACAUUUUAAGUUUGCUGUAAUUGCCGUUGUUUUAUAUUAGUAGAAUAUUAGUGAUAAGAUAAUUGUAGAGUUUUCAUUUUUUUAAUAUUAAAAUCAAGUCAAUUUAUUAUAAUAAAUUUAGUUGAAUUUAAUCGUAUUACCACAUAAAUUGAAUAAUAAUAGAAUUCUCGACAAUAUUUCAAUAUUUUAAUCUCAAGCAUUGGAGUGGCAUUUAUUUGUUAUACGGUCGAUUUUAGAAUUUAUAAAAUUAUUCGUUGCUGAAUUGCACCAUAUGCUGCAUAACCUGAAACUUAAUAAACGGAACGUAGCGUUGGCACCGUUACUCAACAUUCACUGUUACGACUUUGUGACAUUAGAAUUAAAAUCUUUUCCACAUUUAAUUUGUUUACUUCCAACUUAAUAUUUAACAAAAUGUAUGUUAGCAUUGUAUGCCAUAUCAUCUGUAAUUUUGUCAGGAUCGAUCAUUCUAAUUUUUAAGCAGAACUUUUUGUCAAUGGACAAACACCUCAUACAGCUUGUCAGAGGCAUUAGUAUGAUGUAAAAUUGUAAUGGUAUAUCUUGAAUUAUUUUAGAAUAGUGAAUAACUAUUUGGAGCAAUAAAAACAAAUAAGACAGAUGAGAAAAUGGCUAAAAUUAUAUAAGUGACCCAAAAUUUUUUGCUAUUUCCAAGAAAUCCCCAAUCUGAAUGGACCAGAGGGAGGCAAGUUAGAAAUACAUUUCCUUCAUAGACAAUAACAACGAUGAGUGGAUGACAUCAAACCACGUUGGUAUCAAUAUUGAAAUAAAGGUGCAAUUAUUCAGCCAAUGAGCCUUAGUACACAUCAAGAUAUAUAAAAGUCAAGAAAAUGAAAAUUUAUCCCAAUUAAAACUCUUUCUGGCUGCAUUUAGCUGUUUCUGUUUAGGGAUGGCAAUUUAAUCCGGACCCAGCCCGACCCGGAUGAAUCCAGAAAAUUCGGGGUGGAUUCAACCCGUACCGGAGUGAAUAAAAUCUGAUAUUCAAAUUCAAUAUUUUCAACCCGGACGUUUCCGAGUCCGGAUCCGGAUUUGGGUAAACCCGCAUAUCCGGAACCCGGAUCCGGAUAACUAUUUUAAUAUUAAUUUUUAAAUCAUUUUAAAAUAAAAAAAAAUUAGAAAAAAUCAGCCCUAAUGCCCUUCCACAGCCACGGCAGCCAAACCAAACCCAGACAUUUCCUCUCUCUCUCUUUAGCCCUUCUUUUCAACAAAUCAUCAUCGUUGCUCAUCAUCGUUUCGUCGUGUUCAUCUUCAUCUUCAUCAUCAGCUGCCGUUUGUCCAGCUAUGUCACUAGUUUUGGCCGCCGUUUCCGUUUGUGCACCUUCGCAAAUCGGGAUCUCGAUUUGGCCGCCAACACUUCUACCCCCUGGUGUUUUGCUUUGUCCUCGACAACUUCUUUGUUGAUAAAUUGACGGGCACUUAUGAAUGCAUUUGUCUCUGUUUCUUCAUUUACACCUUCCCAGUUGUUUGUUCAUUUGCUUUUUGGAAGGAAAAAAAAAAAAAAUCAGCCACCAUUUAUCCUUCCCCUUUUCUUGACCUAACCCCACAAAGCCCAAUUUGUCAUCAUCAUUCAUUGGCAAAUUUGUUAUCAUCAUGGUUGAGACAUCAUGAUUAUCUUUGAUAAUUGAAUUUGUGUAAUAUGUUACCUUGGAUUUUAUUUCUAAGUAUUUGAUUUUGAAUUAUUUUCCAUUAUUGGUGUUAAUAGAUAGAAGAUUAGAAAGGAAUUCUUCACUGAAUAAAGAGAUGGGAAAUUGCAUCUUUUAGCAAUCAUCCGGGUUAUAAACCCGGAAUCCGGAAACCAGGAUUUUUCCGGGUUUAACCCAGUCCGGACCCGAAUGAAAAAUAUCCGGGUUUACAUCCGGGUCUGGUAUUAAAAUUUAUCGUCCGGAUCCGGAACAGGGAAGACAAAACCCGGACCCGAACCCACAUUUUGCCAUCCCUAUUUCCAUUUGAAGUUAACAACAACGUUUCUUUCGUUUUGUGGGCGACUUGACUGAGCCAGCUGGAUUCUAGUGCUAGUAUGUGAAAAUAGAAGGCUAAUGAUUUCACGUUCACUAGCCCACCUCCCCUCCUCUCGUUUCCUCUGAAUCAAUUUUCACGUGUGGUACCGAUUGAAAAUAUCUCUGACAUUUCGUGGACAUCUCUAUUGAAAAUAUCUCAGACAUUUCACUCAGGCAAACUUAUUAAUAUAAAAAAUCUAUGAUUUUUUCGUCUUAUACUGUAGAAAAAUUUGUCUAUACAUUAAUCUAGAUGUUUGAGGUGGUUUAUACAUCUGUGGUAUAGAUUUAUAGGUUGAUUGAUACGUCUGUGGUAUAGAUUUUAUGUAUUUCAUUAUCAAAUGCUGGCCUUUGGGACCCUAUCUACAUCUAUUUAUAAAACUAACGGGUGCCAGUUAUGCCAUUACAAAUUAUCCCCUCUUCAUACAUUUCCUUAAAAUUCUUCUGAAACACCAAAACUAAAUAAUCGAAUAUGGCUUUGCGGGUCGAUGAUGCCAGCAACAAUGAGGCUGCAAUUAUCACUUGUUUAGUUUCUAUGCUUGCCGUGGUUUAUUUCGUAUGGAAUGUGAACAAAUCAAGGAAAGCAAAUGCUAAACUGCCACCAGGACCUCGCGGUUUGCCUGUAGUCGGAUACCUCCCAUUUCUCGGAACUACUGACUUGCACAAGAAAUUCACGGAAUUAUCCGGAGUUUAUGGUCCGAUCUUCAAGCUCUGGCUCGGAAAUAAAUUAAGUGUCGUGGUGAGCUCACCUUCCCUAGUUAAACAAGUGGUUCGUGAUCAAGAUACAACAUUCGCAGACCGUGACCCGCCGAUCUCAGGACUAGUGACCUCCUUUGGUGGCAAUGAUAUUACAUGGUCCAAUUACGGUCCCGAAUGGAGAAAGUUGCGCAAAUUUUUUGUGGGCAAGAUGAUGAGUAACGCAAGCCUUGAUGCUUGUUAUGCUUUAAGAAAACAUGAGGUUAAAAAUACUAUCAGGGAUUUGUAUAACAACGGCAACAAAAUUGGUAAGCCCAUUGACAUUGGUGAAUUGUCGAUUUCAACAUUGGUAUGUGCUAUGCAGAACAUGCUGUGGGGUGAAGCGCUUGAAUUAAAAGAGAAAGGGACAACUAAUCUUGGGGUUGAGCUAAAAUUUAAGUUUGCAGAACUCAUGGUGCUACUGGGAACACCGAAUAUUUCGGAUAUCUUUCCAAUGCUUUCUUGGCUCGACAUACAAGGUAUAGAGAGGAGAGCAAAGAAGAUUUCACUCUGGUUUGAAAAAAUUAUAAAUUCUACUGUUGAAAAGUAUAGAAGCAAGGACUUUAAUGUUGAAGGUAAAGAAAGAGCAGGGGAAAAUUUUGAAGGAUCAAGGAACAAGAACUUCUUGCAGUUACUAUUGGAGCUUCAAGAAAAUGAAGACGGUUCUUCCUCAAUUAGCAUGAACCAAUUUAAGGCCGUACUCGUGGUAUGUUAAGAAACUAGCCGCAAACAGUUAUACAAGCACAGCUGUAUAUUUUGCAUGAGUGAUAUUUUCAACCUUUUUUUUUUAUAAUUAGAAUUUUAUUGUAACCUUUUGGACAGGAUAUAAUUACGGCUGGAACCGACACCACAACUACGAUGGUGGAAUGGACAAUGGCAGAGUUGAUGCAGCAUCCACAAAUAAUGAAGAAAGUUCAGGAAGAAUUAGCUCAAGUUGUGGGCAUGGACAGUUGUGUUGAAGAAUUUCAUUUGCCUAAAUUGAAAUAUUUAGAUGCUGUGGUGAAAGAAUCGUCUCGUCUGCAUCCUGCAGUGCCUUUAUUACUACCACGCAGAGCAAGCGAGAGUGGCAGCAUUGGUGGCUAUAACAUUCCCAAAGAUACAACUAUUAUGUUGAAUGUUUGGGCAAUCCACAGGGACCCUAAACUUUGGGAUAAUCCCUUAGAAUUUCGACCCGAGAGGUUUCUAGAUGAUGGUAUCGCGAGUAAGUUCGAUUACUCAGGUAACAAUUUUCAGUACUUGCCAUUUGGUUCUGGUAGAAGGAUGUGUGCUGGGAUUCCUCUAGCUGAGAGGAUGCUGAUGUUUGUUUUGGCUUCGUUAUUGCACUCAUUUGAGUGGGAAUUGCCAGCUGGCACAAAGCUAAACUUAUCUGAAAAAUUUGGGAUUGUCAUUAAGAAAAAAGAGCCUUUAGUUGCUAUUCCAACACCAAGACUAUCCAAUUCAGAGCUCUACCAUUAAGACAGAAUGGUUGUGAUGAUUUUGUUAAUUUCCGAAGAUUUGUAUGUUAUGUCAAGUUCAAUCGUAAUAAAAUAUUUCAAAUAAGAGUCCUCCGUUGCUUUUUUUUUUUUUUUCAACCGCAUAAUCUGUCGUCAUGCUUGUAUUUGGGGCUACUUUGGAAUAAUUAUGUUUGAAUUACAAUAUAUAAAUAUUACAUUUUAAAAUUUUAUGAGAUUCUAAAUUUAUACACGUUCAAUAACCCACUUCAUAUAUGUUUAACACAAUUUAUAUCAUACAUUGUAUACCCAUUUGUCAUAAAUUACGCUAUUUUAUAUCUCUAAAUAAUAUUACAUAUUGAUAUUAUAAAAUGUUGUUAACUCACGUGUGUAUAUAUAUAUAGCAAGUCACGUGCAUAUAUUAUUGGUUGUUAUAUGUUUGCUAGUUUGAUAGGAUUUCCUUUCCUUGUGAACUAGGGUAAUUCUUAUGUACAUAUAAAUAUUGAUCAAUAAGAGUGCAGAUGAUGACUGCAGUUUUGCAUCGUAGAAAUUCUUCGUAAAAUAUAUAUGUUUAUCAAAAGGCUAUACCAUUCAAUAUAUAUUGGAAAGAGAACAAAGAAGAUCUUCUUAUGGUUUGAAAAUAUUAUGAAUUCUGCUGUUGAACAGUAUGGAAACAAGGUCUGUUGUUAAAGGUGAAGAAGUCACAGGGAACAAUAUUGAAGGAAGAAAUUUCACGUUUAGUUGCUGAAUUUGCCGCUGUAUUCUAUCGGUAGUAAAAAGAUUAGAGUUUUUAUUUUUCUCUAUUAAUGUUAAGUCAAUUUUCUAUAACAAAUUCGGUUGAGUUUAAUUGUGUUACAAUAUAAAUUGAAUGAUAGUAGAAUUUUCAACGAAUAAUUCAAUAUUUCUAUCUCGAUUGUUGAAGUGCCAUUUAUUUGUUAUACGAUCGAUUUUAAAAUUUAUAAAAUUAUUUGUUACUAAAUUGCAUCAUAUGCUAAAUCACCUGAAACCUAAUUUCAUAACUAACCCUUUAUUUUUAGUUCUCAAGAAAUCUUGUAAGAACAAAAUUCUUUUGUAACAAAACGUUUACAACAAAUUAAUUUGUAACUCAUUCCUGUGCGAGAAUCACUCUCAAUUUCCUUCAAUUGCUGUUUAACAAUCAUCUGCUUAUCAAAAUUCAAGCAUAAUCUUUUUUUUUAAUUUCUUCAUCAUUCUUUUGAAAAAAAAAAUCAGGAUAUGCUGUUAAAUUUUGAAAUAAAUUAUCUCAAAAUAAUUACUAACCAGAAAAAACAAAGGGGUUUAACUAGGUUAUGCAUACCUUUGAAAAUUAUAUGUUGAUCGAUAAGAAUGAUGAUCACGAUUGACGAGUUUAAUUAAAAUAUAUAAGAUUUUAAAAUUAAUCAGGGUUAAAUUGUGAAUUUUAGAAAGAGAGGUUUUGUGAGAAUGUUGAAAGGGUGUUAAUAGUUCCACUCUUUUUAAAAACAACCAUAGUCAUCAUUUUUCCAUGGUUGUUUUUAAAAAGAGUAUUUCUUCUUCCCAUCUCCAUCUUAUUUAGAAAUUUCCCAGAGCCUUUGUUUCCCACCUUUCAUUUUUCUUCUUUCUAAUUUAAUAAUCCACCCUUCUUGUAUUCAAACUAAAAAAUUAAAAUCUGAAAAUUUAAAACCCAAUAUUAUAGUAUUAUAAAAAUAAUUACUCACAUUUUAUCAAACACCUCCAUUCUUCCAAGGCCUUGUUUUAGUAGUAGGCUUUUAUUAUCUCAAUAAAAUUGAAAAAAAAAAUCUCAAUAAUAUUGGAAAAAAACCCUACCCAUAUUUGUAACUUUAAUUUAUUAUUCUCCAUAGACCUACUUUUUAGUUUUGAAUUUUGUUGGAGCCAUAUAUAAACAGAAUAUGUUGAAAUCAGCACCCAAAAAAAAAAAAACUAAUUAUAUAAUUUAUGUUCCCAAGGACAUGGCUGAGUGAUUUUCAAGAAGUUUUGUUUGGCUGGCCACUUAGGUUUAAAUCUUGGUGGAGAUUAAGGGUUAAGAAAUAAAUUUAGACUUUGCACACCCCUUUAACUUUUAAAAAGAAAUGAAAAAAUUAAUUAAUUAAUCUUUAUUUUAUUUAUUAAAUGUCAUAAUCCUAUGCGUAUUUUAUUUGUUAUCUUUCUAUUUAAAAGACGAGGGCAGAUAAAACUGAAAUAAAUUUUUAGCCCUAUCUCCAUAUUUCAAGUUCCAUAGUUAGGUGACCAGCUAAAAAAAAUUAAUUGAAAGCUACUCCAUCAAAUUAAAAAAAUUUAUUUAUUUAAUUUGUGGAGAUGUAGAAAAUCAAACCCCAUACCUUUUCGCAUACACUGAACAUAUUUUAAUACAUGACUAUCAUCCUUUAUCCUAAAUACUACUAUAACUAAUAACAUACAAUUGAAAUAAUUAAUGUUAACACUUGGCUAUAAAUAAAGGUUUUGUGCUUGAAUCUUCACGCAUGACCUUCAUUCCUUUAUUGACUUUGCUAACACAGAUUUUGAGGCAUUAAAACUAAAUAAUAAUUGACUUUGUGGGCCGAGGAUGCCAGCAACAAGGAGACCACAAUUAUCACUUAAGUUACUCUAAUUGCCGUUGUCUUAUAUUCAUAGAAUAUUAGUAAUAAGAUUAUUGCAGAAUUUUUUUAAUAUUAAAAUUAAGUCAAUUUGUUAUAACAAAUUUAGUUGAGUUUAAUCGUGUUACUACAUAAAUUGAAUAAUAAUAGAAUUCUCGACAAAUAUUUCAAUAUUUUUAUCCCAAGCGUUGGAGUGGCAUUUAUUUGUUAUACGAUCGAUUUUAGAACUUAUAAAAUUAUUCGUUACUGAAUUGCACCAUAUGCUGCAUGACCUGAAACUUAAUAAACGGAAUGUAGCGUUGGCACCGUUACUCAACAUACUGUUACGACUUUGUGACAUUAGAAUUAAAAUCUUUUGCACAUUUAAUUUGUUUACUUCAAAAUUAAUAUUUAACAAAAUAUUUUUUUCACAUUAUCAAUGGACAAAACUCCAACGAAAAUAACUACACAAGAAAAAUGUAUGCUAGUAUUGUGUGCCAUAUCAUCUGUAAUUUUGUCAGGAUCGAACACUCUAAUUUUUAAGCAGAACUUUUUAUCAAUGGACAAACACCUCACACAGCUUGUCAGAGGCAUUAUUAUGAUAGAAAACUGUAAUGGUAUAUCUUGAAUUAUUGGUAGAAUAGUUCUUUGGAGCAAUAAAAAUAGAUAAGACAGAUGAGAAAAUUGUCAAUACCCCACCGCAAAAGCAAAAGAAAAAAAGGAAAGGAGACAAAAGAGGAAGAAGAAAAAAAGGAAAGGAGACAAAAGAGGAAGAAGAAAAAGAAAAAAGAACGAAGAAAAAAAUGGUGCCGCGCUGUAUUGGGAAGAAGAAAAAAAUUAAUAAAAUAAUAAUAAAUAAUAAAUAAUAAAUAAUAAAAUAAUAGUGCACAACAAUCAUUUGAUUGCUAUAAAUAAAGGGGCAUUUUCCUCAUUUUAUUCAUCGAAUUCUUCAGUUCCUUUCAAGCGAUUUAAGAGUCUAGUGAUUUGAGAGUUUGGGAGUAUUGUGAUUUUGAGUACUAAGUUAAAAUACUAUAAUACUUGUAACUCAUUUUCACUAGUAAAAUAUUUUUCUUCUGUCUUCGCCCGUAGACGUAGGCUAAAAGCUGAACCACGUAAUUUCUGGUGUCCCUAUGUGAUUAUGUGUCUCAUUAUUUCUCAAUUUUACUUUAGUUACGUGUCUGCUACACCCUUCAAUUUACUAACAAAAAUGGCCAAAAUUAUAUAAGUGACCCAAAUUUUUUUGCUAUUUCCAAGAAAUCCCCAAUCGGAAUAGACCAAACUAGAGGGAGGCAAGUUAGAAAUACGUUUCCUUCAUAAACAAUAACAGCGAUGAGUCGAUGACAUCGAGCCACGUCGGUAUCAAUAUUGAAUUAAAGGUGCAAUUAUUCAGCCAAUGAGCCUUACACAUCAAGAUAAAAGUCAAGAAAAUGAAAAAUUUAUCCUAAUUAAAACACUUUCUGGCUGCAUUUAGCUGUUUCUAUUUGAAGUUAAAAACAACAUUUCUUUCGUUUUGUGGGCAACUCGACUGAGUUCGCUGGCUUCUAGUGCUAGUAUGUGAAAAUAGAAGGCUAAUGAUUUAUUUGUUAUCUUUUGACAAAAAAUGUUAAAGAUAUAAUAGAUUUUCCAUGAUACAAAUGAAAAAUUAUAUCAACAUAACUUCCAAGCUACAGCAGCUAGUGUUUACCAAACACUUUGCUGUAGCUUUUAAGCUACAGCUGCCCAACCUCAAUAGGUUGAUUGAAUUUGUGGGAUAUAGAUUCCACAUAUCUCAUGACCUAUUAAUUAUACAAGUGGUUCUUGAUCAAGAACAACAUUUGCUUCCGACCCAGUAACCCAGCAACUGCUGCACUGGUCGCCACCUAUGGUGCCGACGAUAUUGCAUGGUCCAAUUAUGGCCUUGAAUGGAAAAAGUUGAGCAAAUUAUUUGUGGGCACGAUGAUAAGUAACGCAAGCCUUGAUGCUAGUUAUGGUCGAAGAAAACAAGAGGUUAAGAAUACUAUCAGAGAUAUGCAUAACAACAAAAAGGAAAAAAAAAAAAAAAGGCAUUGGCAAGUCAAUUGAUAUUGCUGAAUUGUCGAUUUCAACUUUGGCAUGUGUAAUUCAGACAUUGCGCGUUGUGGUAUGGCGCUGGCACGCUUGCAUUGCCGAGAGGACAAAUCUUGGGGCUGGGCUAAAAUUUAGGCUUGUAGAACUCAUGGUGCUAAUGGGAACGCCAAAUUUUUUUAACAUAUUUCGGUGCUUUCAUGGUUUAAUUCAAGGUAUAGAAAGGAGUGUUGAGAAUGUCAAAUAAAACGACAUUGAAUGGAAGUUGUCAAAGACAUGAUCCGCACUGAACGGCAAUGACACGGUUGGUAAAGAUUUUUUCAUAAUAUGCGUAUCUAAUUUUUGAAAAAUUGUAACCUCUGCUUCUAUAAAUAUGCUCAAUGUAUAAUGUUUUACUUAAGAAAUGAAAAACUUAAUUCUUUAUGGUAUCAGAGCGAGGCUCGUUGCUCUGUUUGUAACAAAAACAAAGAAAACUAAAUUCUUCCCACAACUAUUUUUCCACCUUUUUUUCUUCCUUAAAAGCAUUCCUAGCAUUACAGAAACCCAUGCCAAUAAAAGAACAAGCCACACAUAUGUAAAAACUUUAGUUUACAAAUCUAUCAACAUCCCCAUAAAUUUUCCCAAAAAGUGAUCUUCAAAAACCAAAAAUACCAUCAAUUUUCGCAUCUUCUAGUAAACAAACUAUAAAAGUUUCGCACUCAAACAGAGCCACACGCGCCUCCACGCGCUUCCCGGAAUCACGGCCAACCACCACGCGCCUCUGUCACCACCAACUCACCCUCAUGCGCUCCAGAUGUUGCAGAAGACGCAAAACGACGUGUCGUUUUCUUCUCUAAAAGUGCAGCAACGUGGAAAUGACUUUUUGUUUUUGCCUUAAAUUGUUUUUCCUCGUUUGAAGCUAUACAACAUUUUUCUUUCUAAACCUGUUUUUUACAAUAAAAAAAGAAAAAAAUGGAGAAAACUCCAACUGAAUCUACUCAUGUUGUCAUUCAAUCUGUUCAACCUGAUGGAGUAUUUAAUGCCGAAAUUAUCCUUACUAAGACAAACUACGAUAUUUGAUCUCAAAUAAUGGAGAUGCAUCUCGCAGAAAGAAAAAAACUCCCAUAUAUUCGUAGCAGCAUAAAUCCAUCUGACAAAUUUUCAAAGAAAUAUGAGAAAUGGUAUAGUGAGAACCAAAAAGUAAAAAGAUGGUUACUCAUAACCAUGUGUCCUGAGAUCAUGAAGCGAUAGUUACAAAUUCCUACAGCCUACGAAAUUUAGAAUGCAUUAUCAAAAGCCUUUUAUAAUGGAAGCGAUGAAAUACAAGUUUUCACUCUAAAUCAGAAGGCGUUCUCUACGAAGCAAAAUGGACAACCACUCUCUAAAUUCUACGGAGAAUUGAUCAAAAUGUUUCAAGAACUUAAUCACCGAGAUAAAGUGGUCAUGAAGGAUCCAGAAGAUGUUAUAAUAUAUAGGAAGUUUGUUGGAAGAUUGAGAGUGCACAUUUUUCUUGCUGGACUAGAUGAAGAAUUUGACCAAGUUUGUGGAGAAAUUCUACGAAAAGAUACUAUCCUAGACUUAAAAGAAUGUUAUUCUCUAAUCCGAAAAGAAGAUGUACGGCAAAGCAAACUAACAAGAAGGUGGACGACUCAGAAACGUCUGCUAUGAUACCACAAGAGAACAAUGUUUUGAAAUUGUUCGAUAUCCUGACUGGUGGGAUACUCGAAGUAAUAACACAAAGCAGAGAUAAAAAACUGCAGUAGCUGAAUCCACAUCCACUACAGAUCUUAGAAAAGAAUCUUCAGCGCAAAUUGCAACCUCUGUCAAUUCAGGUAAGGUCAUUAAAACUCUUACAUUUGUUAUUAAUAGUAUAUGGAUAAUUGAUUAUGGUGCAACUGAUCAUAUGACUUUUGAUUCUUGACAAGUUUCUUAAUUGAAACCAUCUUCACAUAAACAUGUUUCUACUGUAAAUAGAACCACAACCUCAGUUAUUGGGGAAGGAUCUUUACAACUCACAAUUAAAUCAAAUUUAGACUUUGUGUUAAUUGUUCCAUCUUUAAAUUAUAAUCUUUUAUAUGUGUCUCAAAUAACCUCUUACUUAUCAUGUGUUGUAAUGUUUUGGCCCGAUCAUUGCAUGUUUAAGGACAUCCAAAUGAAGGAAACGAUUGGUUAUGAUAUUAAAUAAGGCAACUUGUAUUACCUGGAGAUGACAUCAACAAACACUGAAAAGCUAAGCCCCGCAUUAGUAGCAGACAAUUCCAUGAAAAAAAAGGAAAUAAGAAAUUUGGUUAUGGCAUAGACGAUUAGGGCAUGUGUCAUUUGAUUUCUUAAAAAAAUUGUUUCCUAGUUUGUUUCUGAAAUUUGAUAUUUGUAACUUUAAAUAUGAUGUUUGUGAACUUUCAAAUAGCCAUCGAACUACUUUUCCAUUGUCCUUAAAUAAGAAUCCAAUUCCUUUAAUGGUAGUACAUUCUGAUGUAUAGAGACCAUCUAAAGUUUCUACCAUUGGAAGAGCUCGUUGGUUUGUUACAUUUAUUGAUGAUUGUAGCAGAAUGACAUGGAUUUUUUUAUGAAAUUAAAAUCAUAUGAUGGUGACAACUCUAUUUCAGACACAAAUUUGAGUUCUACAUACUGAUAAUGGAGGCGAGUAUAUGAGCACAACAAUUCAACAGUUUUUGAAAUCACAAUGAACUCACCACCAAACCACUUGUGUGGGGACACUCCAACAAAAUGGCGUUGCUAAACAAAAAAAUAGACAUUUACUAGAAGUUGUUCAAGCAUCACUAAUUUAGGCCCGCAUGCCACUAUUUUAUUGGGGAGAAGCAUUGGCAUCCGUAGCAUACUUGAUCAAUCGGACACCUUCAAUCUUCCUUGGAUUCCAAACUUAUUUUCUAGUUCUAAAUGAAGAAUUAUGUCAUCAAAUGUGUCGAAUUUACCCCCACAUAUGUUUGGUUGUGUUGCCUUCGUUCAUUUGCCAUGACAAGAUAAAUUAUCUCCUCGAGCACUACGUUGUGUGUUUGUAGGGUAUGCCUUACAUCAAAAGGGGUACCGAUGCUAUCAUCCUCUAUUAAGAAAAAAUAUACAUCACCAUGGACAUAAUCUUUCAUGAAGAUAUCAUGUAGUACCCAUCGGAGCUUGAAUUUCAGAGGGAGUAUAAUGAAGAGGAAAUUCAUACUCUUACAUAUCUUUCACCUGAAGAAGAUCAAUCCUCCAUUGAGGUAGUAAACGUUCAAGAUACUGGAAAAGAAAACGACAAUGAUUCUCAGGCUGAGACAAGUGAAGACACAUUUAGGGAGCAAAAUAACUCAGACAUAACCACAAUCGAGAACGAGUCCAUGAAGAGCCACAUGAAGAAAUAUCUAACCAAUCAUCUGCAGAGGAUGAUCCUACCACAAAUCCCAGUCUAAUCAGAAGAAUACUUCCCCAGCAUCAAAAUAGAGGUAUCUCUAAACCCACAUAUAAGACUGACCUCUCUAGUAGAGUCAAAUACCCUAUGAGUCAUUUUGUAUCUAACCAUGGCUUAUCAAAAUCAAAUCAGUCAUUUGUGAAUCAAUUAUCUACUGUGUCUAUUCCUAACAGUGUGCAAUAAGCCUUAAAAUAUCGAAAGUGGAAAGGGCUAUGAAUGACGAAAUGAGAUCUCUUUAAAAAAAAUCAAACAUGGGAACUAAUUGAUCUUCCACCAGGAAAGAAACCAGUGGGUUGCCGAUGGAACUAGUUGAUCAUCCACCUCCAUUCUGACAAGCAAUGUUUAUCAGCAAUAACAAAUGACUGAAGCAUUUUAAUGAGGUUAGUAACGAAAAAGAGUUUAAUUAGAGAAUAUUAUAAGAGAAAUUCUAAUUUUUGAUUUUUAAUAAAUUAAAAUAUCUUAAAAUAUUAUUAGUUGGUGGUGGUUUCAUGUCAGAUUAAGACGUGACACCUUACUAAUGAGGUCGAGACAAUUAGCUUAAAUUAUUUCAAUGCAUUUGAAAUUUCCACUAAUGACUAUAAUUCUUUGUCCUAAUUACUAUGAUAAUUAAUAACAUACAAUUGAAAUAGUUAAUAUUAGCACUUGGCAAUAAAUAAUUAAAUUUCAUUAACACUAAAUAAUAAUUGAAUAUGGCUUUGUACAUCGAUGACGCCAGCAACAAGGGGACCGCGAUUAUCACUCUUUAAGUUGCUUUUAAAAUUGAUUUUAGUAGUGAUAUGAUUAUUGUAGUGUUUUUAUUUUUUAUAUUAAAAUUAAGUGAUUUGUUAUAAUAAACUUAGUUGAGUUUAAUGGUAUUACUACAUAAAUUGAAUAGUUAUCAAAUAUUUUAAUAUUUUUAUGGCAAGCGUUGACGUGGCAUUUAUUUGUUGUAUGAUGGAUUUUAAAAUUUAUAAAAUUAUUUGUUAUUAAAUUACCCCCAGAUGCUACAUCACCUGAAACUUAAUAAAGGUAUGAAGACAUGUGUGUGUGGACUGAAAUGAAGAAUAUGGAAAAGUUGAGAGCUGUUGUGCAGAUUGAGUUCAGUUGAUGGGGUCUAUUAGAUAUUGUCUGCUGACGUGGCAUGAAUUCGUUAUAAUCUGUUAUAACGAGUUCAGUAUAUCAGUAUACAAUAGAGCUGAUGGAUGGUGCCUGUUUUAGAGUCUUUUUUAUAUUCAUUUGUUCAUCAUUUUGCGCAAGAUCUGUUCCAUUGUGAUAUGUGUAAAGUCUUAUGUAAACCCACUUAUGAUUGGAUUAGUUCUUGAUUAAUAACAACGAGUAAAUUUUCCUUCAAGUGUGCUGGUCUGUGCCCCUGUUUUUUGUUCUGAUAUUGUUUCUUUGUUCUGGCAUUUCAUUUCGAUUGUGUUCUUGGUGUUUCUACUCAUCAAGAUUUAUGAGUCUUGUUGAGAUUAAAGACUUAAUAGUCUUAACAAGUGGUAUCAGAGCCUGGUGAAUCUCAGCCAUGUCUCUUUCGAAGCAUGAAAUUGAAAAAUUCACCAUUGGUGGUGAUUUCUCGCUUUCGAAAUUAAAAAUGAGGGCUCUCCUUGUGCAUUAGAGGCUUGAAUUUGCUCUGGAAAAAGAUAAUCUAGAGGCUGCUACAAGUUAUGUGACUGAUGAUAAGAAGAGACAAAUCCAAAACCGAGCUCGUAGCACUCUAGUUUUGAGUCUUGGUGACUCAAUCUUGAGAAAGAUUUCUGAAGAGAAGACAACCUUAGGGAUUUGGAACAAGGUAGAAGCUUUGUGUACAAAGAAGUCGCUAGCUCACAGACUAUUCUUGAAGAAAAAGUUAUACACAUUCUCGAUGAGAGAAGGAGUCACAAUUCAAGAUCACAUUGAUACCUUCAACAAGAUCAUUCUUGAUCUUGAAGGGGUGGAAAAUGUGACAAUAAGUGAUGAAGAUAAAGCCUUCUUCUUGUUGAGUUCCUUACCAAAGUCUUAUGAAGGCUUUGUAGAUACAAUGCUUUAUGGCAGAACAACAUUGACUCUUGAAGAUGUUAAAGCAUCUCUAAGUUCAAAAGAGAUUCAGAAGAACAAUGAGAUUGAAACAAAUAAUGGUGAUGGGCUGAUUGCCAGAUCAGAAAAGAAGAAAGAUCAGAAGAAUAAAAAUCAGGGAAAAUGACAUGGAAAGAAUUAAGAAAAUGCAGACAAGAAGAAAAAGAAGAGAAAAUGCUUCUACUGCCGGAAGGAAGGGCAUUACAUCAGGGAUUGUCUUAAAAAGAAAAAAAAAGAAAGUCAAGAGAAGUCAGGGGAUGCAGCUGUAGCCUCUGAUGAUGCCUCUGAUGGAUAUCACAUUGCUGAUUUACUUGUGGCCUCAAAUAGCAAUACUAAAGGUCAGUGGGUCAUAGACUCUGAGUGCUCUUUUCACUUGUGGCCUGAUAAAACCAUAUUUUACAAAUAUGAAGUUGUUGAUGGUGGUAGAGUCUUAAUGGGAAAUAAUAAUGUGUGUAAUCUUGUUGGUAUUGGUUCUGUGAAGAUCAAGAUGUUUGAUGGAACUGUAAGAGCUCUACAUGAGGUGAGGCAUGCUCCUAGGCUAAAGAGAAAUCUAAUCUCUUUAGGCAUGCUAGACAGCUUAGGGUAUUUCUUUAAAUCAGAAAGUGGUGGUUUAGAGAUAAGAAAGGGGACUGAGAUAGUGAUGAAGGGGGUUAAAGAAAAUGGCUUAUAUGUAUUGUAAGGCUCAUCAGUGCUUCUUCAAAAGGGAAUUUCUGCUCUUUUUGAGGAAGAUAUAACCAAGUUAUGACAUCUUAGACUUGGUCAUAUGAGUGUCAAAGGGAUGUAAGAGCUCAGCAAACAAGGGCUACUUGGUGGGGAUAGAAUCCAGCAACUGGAAUUAUGUGAAAAUUGCAUUUUUGGCAAAGCUCACAGGUCCAAGUUUCACAAGGGGGAGCAUAUGUCUAAGCAAGUUUUGGACUAUGCACAUGCUGACCUUUGGGGGCCUGCUCAAGUCCCAUCCUUGAGUGGUGGCAGGUAUUUCAUAUCACUAAUUGAUGAUUACUCAAGGAAGAUGUGGGUCUACAUACUCAAGACCAAAGAUCAAGCCUAGGAAAAAAUUCAAGGUAUAGAAAUCUUUGGUAGAAAAUCAAUUUGGAUUCAAGCUCAAAUGCUUGAGAACUGAUAAUGGUUUGGAAUUUUGUAGCAAAGAAUUUGAGGAAUAUUACAAAAAAACAUGGCAUAAAAAGGCACAAAACAGUCAGGUUCACCCCCCAGCAGAAUGGCUUGGCUGAAAGGAUGAACAUGACCUUGGUAGAUAAGACCAGAUGUAUGUUGAUAAAUUCAAAGCUUCCAAGAAGCUUUUGGGCAGAAGCUGUCAAUACAACAAGUUGUUUGGUUAACAGAAGCCCAUAUUCUGCAAUUGGCUUCAAAACACCAGAAGAAUUGUGGAAGGAAAAACCUGUAAAUUACCAAAAUCUCAGUGUUUUUGGAUGCCCUGCUUAUCUCCACAUCAAUCAAGGCAAGCUGGAAGCUAGGGCCUUGAAAGGAGUCUUUGUUGGAUAUCCUGAUGGGGUUAAGGGAUACAUAAUCUGGUGUAGAGAGUAAGGGAAGUGUAUAGUCAGCAGGGAUGUUGUGUUUCAUGAAUUUGGAUUGCUAAAAGAAAAUGCAGAGAAUGAUACUAGACUACAAAAUGAUUCAAUAAUUAUCAAACAAUCUGGAACUUCCAAGGUUAAGGUGGAGCUGUUUGGAAAUAAAGACAGUAGAAAAGAGGUAGCUGAUUAUGAAGAGAGGACCACAGCUAAAGUUGAGGAACAUGAGUCAUCAGAGUUGCCACAAGCUGACUUGCAGACUUAUCAGUUAGCAAGAGAUAGAGUUAGAAGAGAAGUCAAAGCACUAGUGAGGUAUGGCUAUGCUGACUUAAUUACUUAUGCAUUGUUGUGUGCUGAUGAUGUGGCAAUUGAAGAGCCUGCUAACUUCUCUGAAGUUAUUGAAAGUGUGCAUUGUGAUAAGUGGCUUGAGGCAAUGCAAGAUGAAAUGGGAUCCCUUCAAAGAAAUCAGACCUGGACACUUGUUCCAAAUCUAGGUAAUAAAAAGUUGAUCAGUUGUAAGUGGAUCUUCAAGAAGAAUGAAGGAAUUCCAGAUGUUGAACCUCCCAAAUAUAAAGCAAGGCUAGUGGCUAGGGGGUUUACACAGAGAAAGAGUGUAGAUUUCAAUGAAAAAUUUUCCCCUGUUCUUAAGCACAUUUCAAUAAGAAUUUUAUUAGUCAUGGUAGCCUUACUUGACUUGGAGCUUGAGCAAAUGGAUGUAAAAACAGCAUUCCUUCAUGGUAAUCUUGAAGAACAGAUAUUGAUGGCACAACCUAAAUGUUUUGAGUGCAAAGGAAAUGAGGAUUAUGUUUGUUUGCUGCAUAAGUCCUUGUAUGGACUCAAGCAAUCCCCACGACAGUGGUACAUAAGAUUUGAUGAUUUUAUGGUCUCAAAAGGCUAUCACAUAAGCAAAUAUGACAGUUGUGUUUACUUUGGUGGAUCAUAUCAAGGUGGAGUUGCUUAUUUGCUUCUGUAUGUUGAAGAUAUGUUAAUUGCAAGAAAAUAUAAGUUGGAGAUAGAGAGGUUGAAGAAAUGAAGGAUCUCGGCAAUGCCAAAAGAAUCCUUGGGAUGAACAUUACAAGGGGCAGAUCUGCUGACACUUUGUUCUUGAGUCAUGAGAAAUAUAUCAAGAAGGUUCUGGAGAGGUUUGAGAUGCAAGACUAUAAACCUGUCCAAACACCACUUGGUCCCCAAUUCAAGUUGACAGCAGCUCAAUCAUCAGAAGAUGAGUCUCAGGUGAGUGAAUUCCCAUAUGCACAGGUUGUAGGGAGCCUGAUGUAUGUAAUGGUAUGCACCAGGUCAGAUAUAGCUUAUGCAGUAAGUGUUGUCAGCAAAUUUCUCAGUUGUCUAGGCAAGGUUCACUGGAAUGUUGUAAAAUGGAUAAUGAGAUAUCUUAAGGGCUCUUUUACUUGUGGUUUGCUGUAUGGGAAGACUAAGAGUGACAUAAGUGAAGUCCUGGGGUUUGUAGACUCUGACUUUGCUGGAGAUCUUGAUAGAAUGAAGUCAACCUCAGGGUAUAUGUUUGUGUUAAACAGUUGCCUGAUUAGCUGGAAGUCAUCACUUCAGUCUGUGGUUGCUUUAUCCUCAACUGAAGCUGAGUUUGUUGCAACUACAGAGGCAGUAAAAGAGGCCAUGUGGCUAAGAGGUUUGCUUAAUGAGUUAUGGUUAAAUCAGAAAAUUGUUCAGGUUUUCUGUGAUAACCAAAGUGUCAUACACCUGGUAAAGAAUCAGAUGUAUCAUGAAAGAACCAAGCACAUUGAUGUGAAGCUCCAGUUUAUCAGAGAUGAGGUUGGAAAAGGAACUAUAAUUGUGUCCAAGAUCUAUACCAGUGUGAAUCCAACUGAUGUUAUUACAAAAGCACUUCCCACUGCAAAAUUUGAAUUCUAUGUGAAUCUAAUGGGCAUCUCGCCCAAACCUAACUAAAUUCAAUAGUGAAUUGUAGUUGAAUGAAGGUUUUUUAGGUGCUGUGUUAUUGAAAGGAUCAACUGAAUCAACUGCAAGGUGGAGAAUGUGAAGAUGUGUGUGUGGACUGAAAUGAAGAAUAUGAAAAAGUUGAGAGCUGUUGUGCAGAUUGACUUCAGUUGAUGGGGUCUAUUAGAUAUUGUCUGCUGACGUGGUAUGAAUUCGUUAUAAUCUGUUAUAACGAGUUCAAUAUAUCAGUAUAUAAUGGAGCUGAUGGAUGGUGCCUGUUUUAGAGUCUUUUUCGUAUUCAUUUGUUCAUCAUUUUGCACAAGAUUUGUUCCAUUGUGAUCUGUGUAAAGUCUUCUGUAAAUCCACUCAUGAUUGGAUUAGUUCUUGAUCAAUAACGAGUAAAUUUUCCUUCAAGUGUGCUGGUCUGUGCCCCUGUUUUUGGUUCUAAUAUUGUUUCUUUGUUUUGGCAUUUCAUUUCGAUUGUGUGCUUGGUGUUUCUACUCAUCAAGAUUUGUGAGUCUUGUUGAGAUUAAAGGCUUAAUAGUCUUAACAAAAGGGAAUGUAGCAUUGCCAUUAAUCAACAUUCACUCUUAUGACUUUAUGACAUUAGAAUUAAAAUCUUUCGUACAUUUAAUUUAUUUGCUUCCAAAUUAAUCUUUAAUAAAUAUUUUUUCACAUUAUCAUCAAUGGACAAAACUCCAACGAAAAUAACUACACGAGAACAAUUUAUGCUAGUAUUAAAUGCCACGAUAUCUAUAACUUUGUCUGGAUCGAUCAUUCUAAUUUUUUCGCAGAACUUUUUGUCAAUGGACAAACACCUCACAGAGCUUGUCAGCCGCAUUAUUACGAUGUAAAAUUGUACCGGAAUAUCUUGAAUUAUUAGUAGAAUAAUGAAGACUAUUUGGGGCAAUAAAAACAAAUAACGCAGAUAAAAAAAUGGCUAAAAUUAUGUAAGUGAGCCCCAAAGUUUUUGCUAUUUCCAGGAAAUCCCAAAUUUGAAUGGACUAGAGGGAGGCACGUAAGAAAUACAUUUUCUUCCUAGACAAUGACAGCUAUGACAUCAAGCCACGGUGGCGUCAGUAUUGAAAUUAAGGUGUAAUUAUUCAGCCAAUGAGCCUUACACAUCAAGAUAAAAGUCAAGAUAAUGAAAAUUUGGCUGUUUCCAUUUGAAGUUAAAAGCAACGUUUCUUUCGUUUUGUGGGCGACUCGACUGAGCACGCCCCAAUAGCUAUAUUUAGGGCGUCAAUUUGAUAUUUGAAUGGACAGGCAAGUAAGAAAUACAUUUCCUUCAUAGACAAUGACAACGAGGACAUCAAGCCACAUCAUUAUAGUUUGUAGCCCAUCUACAUUUAAACGAUUAAUAAACAAGCUUAGGUGUGCCACUGCUAUUAUUAAUUAUCCCCUGAUCAUUAUAGUUUCUGAAACAGUAAAACUAAACGAAAUUGAAUACAUCAACGAGACCGCAAUUAUCACUUGUUUAGUUGCGGUAUUUAACUUAAUUUUAAUAUAAUAUAUUUGUUAGUUAAACUUUUAAUAAUCAAAUAAUUUUGAUUUAAAAAUAAAAUUAUAGAAAUUAUUAAUUAUUAAUUAUUAAAAAUUCACAAUUAAGGGAACGUUCAUCAAACACACAUAGCUAUUGUUUUCUCUAUAUAUUGCAGUGUGUACGAUAUUGAGGGUUGAAGCCCCAAGCAUGCUCUAAAAUCCAGAUAAUAAUUAGAUCCGGGCCAAAUAUUCAUCAUUGUGUCAGCUGAUCAGUCGGUGGACAUCUCUAUUGAAAAUAUCUCUGACAUUUCACUCGACAAACUUAUUAAUAUAAAAAAUCUGUGGUUUUGCCGUCUGAAUAAUGUAGAAAAAUUUGUCUAUGCAUUAAUCUAGAUGUUUGAGGUGAUUUAUACAUCUGUGGUAAAGAUUUAUAGGUUGACUUAGACGUCUGUGGUAUAGAUUUUAUGUAUUUCAUUACAAAAUGCUGGCCGUUAGAACCCUUUCUACAUCUAUUUAUAAGAUUAACGGGUGCCAGCUAUGCCAUUACAAAUUAUCCCCUCAUCAGAUAUUUCGUUAAAAUUCAUUCUGAAACACUAAAACUAAAUAAUCGAAUAUGGCUUUGCGGGUCGAUGAUGCCAGCAGCAAUGAGACUGCAAUUAUCACUUGUUUAGUUUCUGUGCUGGCCGUGGUUUACUUCGCAUGGAAUGUGAAAAAAUCAAGGAAAGCAAAUGCUACACUGCCACCAGGACCUCGCGGCUUGCCUGUAUUCGGAUACCUCCCAUUUCUUGGAACUACUGACUUGCACAAGAAAUUCACGGAAUUAUCCGGAGUUUAUGGUCCGAUCUUCAAGCUUUGGCUUGGAAAUAAAUUAUGUGUAGUGGUGAGCUCACCUUCCCUAAUUAGACAAGUGGUUCGUGAUCAAGAUACAACAUUCGCGAACCGUGACCCACCGAAGGCUGCACUAGUGGUCUCCUAUGGUGGCAAUGAUAUUGCAUGGUCCAAUUACGGUCCCGAAUGGAGAAAGUUGCGCAAAUUUUUUGUGGGCAAGAUGAUGAAUAACGCAAGCCUUGAUGCUUGUUAUGCUCUAAGAAGACAAGAGGUUAAAAAUACUAUCAGGGAUUUGUAUAACAACGACAACAAAAUUGGCAAGCCCAUUGACAUUGGUGAAUUGUCGUUUUCAACAUUGGUAUGUGCUAUACAGAACAUGCUGUGGGGUGAAGCGCUUGAAUUAAAAGAGAAAGGGACCACUAAUCUUAGGGCUGGGCUAAAAUUUAAGCUGGCAGAACUCAUGGUGCUUGCGGGAACACCGAAUAUUUCGGAUGUCUUUCCAAUGCUUUCAUGGCUUGACAUACAAGGUAUAGAGAGGAGAGCAAAGAAGAUUUCACUCUGGCUUGAUAAUGUUAUAAAUUCUACUGUUGAACAGCAUAGAAACAAGGAGUUAACUGUUGAAGGUGAAGAAAGAGCGGGGAAAAAUUUUGAAGGAUCAAGGAACAAGAACUUCUUGCAGUUACUAUUGGAGCUUCAAGAAAAUGAUGACAGUGCUUCCUCAAUUAGCAUGAACCAAUUCAAGGCCGUACUCGCGGUAUGUUAAGCAACUAGCCACGAACAGUUAUACAAGCACAAUUGUAUAUUUGCAUGAGUGAUAUUUUCAACCUUUUUUUUUAAUUAGAAUUUUAUUGUCACCUUUUGGACAGGAUAUAAUUACGGCUGGAACCGACACCACAACUACGAUGGUGGAAUGGACAAUGGCAGAGUUGAUGCAGCAUCCACAAGUAAUGAAGAAAGUUCAGGAAGAAUUAGCUCAAGUUGUGGGCAUGGACAGUUGUGUUGAAGAAUUUCACCUGUCUAGAUUAAUGUAUUUAGAUGCUGUGGUGAAGGAAACAUUUCGUCUGCAUCCUGCAGUGCCUUUAUUACUACCACGUAGGGCAAGCGAGAGUGGCAACAUUGGUGGCUAUACCAUUCCCAAAGAUACAACUCUUAUGUUGAAUGUUUGGGCUAUCCACAGGGACCCUCACCUUUGGGAUAAUCCCUUAGAAUUUCGACCCGAGAGGUUUCUGAAUGUUGGUAUCGAGAGUAAGUUCGAUUACUCAGGUAACAAUUUUCAGUACUUGCCAUUUGGUUCUGGUAGAAGGAUGUGUGCUGGGAUUCCUCUAGCUGAGAGGAUGCUGAUGUUUGUUUUGGCUUCGUUAUUGCACUCAUUCGAGUGGGAAUUGCCAACUGGCACAAAGCUAAACUUAUCAGAAAAAUUUGGGAUUGUCAUUAAGAAAAAAGAGCCUUUGGUUGCUAUUCCAACACCAAGACUAUCCAAUUCAGAGCUCUACCAUUAAGACCAAAUGGUUGUGAUGAUUUUGUUAAUUUCCGAAGAUUUGUAUGUUAUUUCAAGUUCAAUCGUAGUAAAAUAUUUCAAAUAAGAGUCCUCCGUUGCUUUUUUUUUUUUUUUUCAACGGCAUAAUCUGUGGUCAUGCUUGUAUUUGGAGCCACUUUAGAAAAAUUAUGUUUGAAUUACAAUUUAUAAAUAUUACAUUUUAAAAUAUUAUGAGGCUAAAUUUAUACACGUUCAAUAACCCGCUUCAUAUAUAUUUAACACAAUUUAUAUCAUACAUUGUACACCCAUUUAUCAUAAAUUACACUAUUUUGUAUCUCUAAAUAAUAUUACGUAUUGAUAUUAUAAAAUAUAUAUGGAAAAGAGAACAAAGAAGAUUUCUUAUGGUUUGAAAAUAUUAUGAAUUCUGCUGUUGAACAGUAUGGAAACAAGGUCUCUGUUGUUAAAGGUGAAGAAGCAACAGGGAACAAUAUUGAAGGAAGAAAUUUCACAUGUUUAGUUGCUGAAUUUGCCGCUGUAUUCUAUCGGUAGUAAAAAAAUUAGAGUUUUUAUUUUUCUCUAUUAAUGUUAAGUCAAUUUUCUAUAACAAAUUCGGUUGAGUUUAAUUGUGUUACAAUAUAAAUUGAAUGAUAAUAGAAUUUUCAACGAAUAUUUCAAUAUUUCUAUCUCGAUUGUUGAAGUGCCAUUUAUUUGUUAUGCGAUCGAUUUUAAAAUUUAUAAAAAUUAUUUGUUACUAAAUUGCAUCAUAUGCUAAAAUCACCUGAAACCUAAUUCCAUAACUAACCCUUUAUUUUUAGUUCUCAAGAAAUCUUGUAAGAACAAAAUUCUUUUAUAACAAAACUUUUACAACACAUUAAUUUGUAACUCAUUCCUGUGCGAGAAUCACUCUCAAAUUCCUUCAAUUGCUGUUGAACAAUCAUCUGCUUAUCAAAAUUCAAGCAUAAUCUUUUCUUUUUUUUAAUUUCUUCAUCAUUCUUUUGAAAAAAAAAAAUCAGGAUAUGCUGUUAAAAUUUUGAAAUAAAUUAUCUCAAAAUAAUUACUAACCAGAAAAAACAAAGGGGUUUAACUAGGUUAUGCAUACCUUUGAAAAUUAUAUGUUGAUCGAUAAGAAUGAUGAUCACGAUUGAGGAGUUUAAUUAAAAUAUAUAAGAUUUUAAAAUUAAUCAGGGUUAAAUUGUGAAUUUUAGAAAGAGAGGUUUUGUGAGAAUGCUGAAAGGGUGUUAAUAGUUCCACUCUUUUUAAAAGCAACCAUAGUCAUCAUUUUUCCCGAUUUCUUCUUCCCAUCUCCAUCUUAUUUAGAAAUUUCCCAGAGCCUUUGUUUCCCACCUUUCAUUGUUCUUCUUUCUAAUUUAAUACUAUAGGAUUACAAAAAUAAUUACUCACAUUUUAUCAAACACCUCCAUUCUACCAAGGCCUUGUUUUAGUAGUAGGCUUUUAUUAUCUCAAUAAAAUUGAAAAAACAAAUCUCAAUAAUAUUGGAAAAAAAAAACCUACCCAUAUUUGUAACUUUAAUUUAUUAUUCUCCAUAGACCUACUUUUUAGCUUUGAAUUUUGUUGGAGCCAUAUAUAAACAGAAUAUGUUGAAUCAGCACCAAAAAAAAAAAAAAAAAACUAAUUAUAUAAUUUCUGUUCCCAAGGACAUGACUGAUUGAUUUUCAAGAAGUUUUGUUUGGCUGGCUACUUAGGUUUAAAUCUUGGUGGAGAUUAGGGGUUAAGAAAUAAAUUUGGACUUUGCACACCCCUUUAACUUUUAAAAAGAAAUGAAAAAAACUAAUUAAUUAAUCUUUAUUUUAUUUAUUAAAUAUCAUAAUCCUAUGCGUAUUUUAUUUGUUAUCUUUCUAUUUAAAAGACAGGAGGGCAGAUAAAACUGAAAUAAAUUUUUAGCCCUAUCUCCAUCUUUCAAGUUCCAUAGUUAGGUGACCAGGUAAAGAAAAUUAAUUGAAAGCUACUCCAUCAAAUUAAAAAAUUUUAUUUAUUUAAUUUGUGGAGAUGUAGAAAAUCAAACCCCAUGCCUUUUCGCGUGGAAAAGUGUCAACCUGGUCUAGCUAUGUUGCAAAAGUGAACAUAUUUUAAUACAUGACUAUCAUCCUUUAUCCUAAAUACUACUAUAACUAAUAACAUACAAUUGAAAUAAUUAAUGUUAACACUUGGCUAUAAAUAAAGGUUUUGUGCUUGAAUCUUCACGCAUGACCUUCAUUCCUUUAUUUACUUUGCUAACACAGAUUUUGAGGCAUUAAAACUAAAUAAUAAUUGACUUUGUGGGCCGAGGAUGCCAGCAACAAGGAGACCACAAUUAUCACUUGUUAAGUUACUCUAAUUGCCGUUGUCUUAUAUUCAUAGAAUAUUAGUAAUAAGAUUAUUGUAGAAUUUUUUUAUAUUAAAAUUAAGUCAAUUUGUUAUAACAAAUUUAGUUGAGUUUAAUCGUGUUACCACAUAAAUUGAAUAAUAAUAAAAUUCUCGACAAAUAUUUCAAUAUUUUUAUCCCAAGCGUUGGAGUGGCAUUUAUUUGUUAUACGAUCAAUUUUAGAAUUUAUAAAAUUAUUCGUUACUGAAUUGCACCAUAUGCUGCAUGACCUGAAACUUAAUAAACGGAACGUAGCGUUGGCACCGUUACUCAACAUACUGUUACGACUUUGUGACAUUAGAAUUAAAAUCUUUUGCACAUUUAAUUUGUUUACUUCCAAAUUAAUAUUUAACAAAAUAUUUUUUCACAUUAUCAAUGGACAAAACUCCAACGAAAAUAACUACACAAGAAAAAUGUAUGCUAGUAUUGUGUGCCAUAUCAUCUGUAAUUUUGUCAGGAUCGAUCAUUCUAAUUUUUAAGCAGAACUUUUUAUCAAUGGACAAACACCUCACACAGCUUGUCAGAGGCAUUAUUAUGAUGGAAAACUGUAAUGGUAUAUCUUGAAUUAUUGGUAGAAUAGUUCUUUGGAGCAAUAAAAACAGAUAAGACAGAUGAGAAAAUUGUCAAUACCCCACCGCAAAAGCAAAAGAAAAAAAGGAAAGGAGACAAAAGAGGAAGAAGAAAAAGAAAAAAGAACGAAGAAAAAAAUGGUGCCGCGCGGUAUAGGCAAGAAGAAAAAAUAAUAAUAAAAUAAUAAAAUAAUAGUGCACAACAGUCAUUUGAUUGCUAUAAAUAAAGGGGCAUUUCCCUCAUUUUAUUCAUCGAAUUCUUCAGUUCCUAAGCGAUUUAAGAGUCUAGUGAUUUGAGAGUUUGGGUAUAGUAUAGUUUUGAGUAGUGAGUUAAAAUAUUACAAUACUUAUAACUUAUUUUUACUAAUAAAAUAUUUUUCUUCUAUCUUCACCCGUGGACGUAGGGUCAAAGCCGAAUCACAUAAUUUUUAGUAUCCCUAUGUGAUUAUGUAUCUCAUUAUUUUUCAAUUUUACUUUAGUUACGUGUCUGCUACAUCCUUCAAUUUACUAACAAAAAUGGCCAAAAUUAUAUAAGUGACCCAAAUUUUUUUGCUAUUUCCAAGAAAUCUCCAAUCUGAAUGGGCCAGACCAGAGGGAGGCAAGUUAGAAAUACGUUUCCUUCAUAGACAAUAACAGCGAUGAGUCGAUGACAUCGAGCCACGUCGGUAUCAAUAUUGAAUUAAAGGUGCAAUUAUUCAGCCAAUGAGCCUUACACAUCAAGAUAAAAGUCAAGAAAAUGAAUAUUUAUCCUAAUUAAAACACUUUCUGGCUGCAUUUAGUUGUUUCCAUUUGAAGUUAAAAGCAACGUUUCUUUCGUUUUGUGGGCAACUCGACUCAGUUAGCUGGCUUCUAGUGCUAGUAAGUGAAAAUAGAAGGCUAAUGAUUUAUUUGUUAUCUUUUGAUAAAAUUAUUAAAGAUAUAAUAGAUUUUUCAUGAUACAAAUAAAAAAUCACAUCAACAUAGCUUCCAAAGUACAACAGCUAAUGUUUACCAAACACUUUGUUGUAGCUUUUAAGCUACAGCUGCCCAACUUUAAUUUCAAAUGCACCCUUAAUAGGUUGAUUGAAUUUGUGGGAUAUAGAUUCCACAUAUCGUAUGACCUAGUAACUAUACAAGUGGUUCGUGAUCAAGACACAACAUUUGCUUCCGGCCCGGUGACCCAGCAAUCGCUGCAUUGGUCGCCACCUAUGGUGCCAACGAUAUUGCAUGGUCCAAUUGUGGCCUUGAAUGGAAAAAGUUGAGCAAAUUAUUUGUGGACACGAUGAUAAGUAACGCAAGCCUUGAUGCUAGUUAUGGUCCAAGAAAACAAGAGAUAUGCAUAACAACAAAAAGGAAAAAAAAAAAAAAAAAAAAAAAGGCAUUUGCAAGCCCAUUGAUAUUGGUGAAUUGUCGAUUUCAACUUUGGCAUGUGUAAUCCAGAGCCUGCGCGCUGUGGUGUGGCGCUGGCACGCUUGCAUUGACGAGGGGACAAGUCUUGGGGCUGAGCUAACAUUUAAGCUCGCAGAACUCAUGGUGCUAAUGGGAACACCAAAUAUUUUUUGACAUAUUUUGGUGCUUUCAUGGUUUAAUUCAAGGUAUAGAAAGGAGUGUUGAGAAUGUCAAAUAAAACGGUAUUGAAUGGAAGUUGUUAAAGACACGAUCCGCACCGAACGACAACAGCACGGUUGCUAAAAAUCCUUCCGUAAUAGGCAUAUCUAAUUUUUGAAAAAGUGUAACCUCUACAUUUAUAAAUAUACUCAAUGUAUAAUGUUUUACUUAAGAAAUGAAAAACUUGUUUGUUCAAGGAGAAUAAAGAAAAAUUUUCUAUGAUUUUUCUAUGGUUUGAACAAAGAAGGUUUUAACGAGUAUUAUAGACCUCGAUUGAAUGUUCGAA
rnacentral:lncRNA from 1 species